UAGCACCCUUGAUGGUACAACAUCACUCUUCUGACAGAUGGUUCGAGCCCUAAAAGAUUAGCGAGUUUAUAAUCUGCACCAGGCAUUUCUACACCUGAGGUUGUACAAAAUACAAGGUGGGUGAUCUUCGAUUUAGGUUGACCCCACUCUUUAAGAGCCUUCAAUGCUGCUUCCUUACCAAGCUUGGGUACCUCAGCAGUGAUAAUCUCUUGGCGUAUGUUAAGAGAUGGAGCCAUAUAAGCACCAAUGUUUGGGUGCUCUUCAAGCAUUUCUUCGGUCAAAUGAAUGUAACGCUUCUUGAUCAUGGAUUUGUCACCUGUAUAUAAAUUAAAUAACAGUAAUAUGUAAGCUCAAGGCACACUAGUGAAACAAAAUCAAUUCAAUGGGUAGAUUGAUUGUUCAAGAUGAUCAAACAUUGUUCAACUGAGUGUAAAAAGAUUCAUCUUAAUACAAUAUAAAAGCUUAUUUUUUAUUACAUCAAUUAAUAACGUGAUCCCAUGCGUUAUACUAUGUGAUUCAAAGAGCACCUGCUCAUACCAUCACUCACAGAUGCACUGUAUUAAUUUAAAAUGAGUACACAGAAAGCUUGAAAAUGAUGUUUCAGUGGUCGUAGGGGAAUCAUAUGUAUAUGAAGGAUGUUAAAAUUAUACUUACAAAUGCGGUUGAACUUCUUCUUGAGCUCGGUCAUGUGCUCGCUUUUAGUGACCCGGAAAUAGUAAUCAGCGAAAUCAGACUGGUACAGACAGUUGUCCGGGGUAGCUGUGCCAAUGGCUAGAACGGUGGCCGGACCCUUGGCACGCUGAGCAUUUCUAAUUUCCUCCACAGACGCCAUUGAUAGUGUGUGAUGACUACUGAAAUGGAAGCUUCAAAGUUGAAGAAGGAAAGAGAAAUGAAAUUUUAGGAGCACAAGUGCUUGGAGCUGUCUGGCCAAAGUUGUGUGUUGAGGUUGGUAUUUAUAAUCACCACAAAUGCUGUCUCACCAACUCUCAUCCACUUCCAUGUAGGUAGGCUUGCAUUUGAAUAAUCCGGUGCCAUGGGGUUUGAUUUCCAUCUUGGUAGGCUUCGGUUUUCAUUCUUUAUUUUAUUUUUCUGUCUUUCUUCUUCCUCUAAAGCUCUUUUGGUCUUCUAAACCCACGUAAGGCGGUUGGAAGCUUACCCUUUUUGACUCCAAGUUGGUAGCAUCACUUUCAUAUCCCCCGAGUACUAUUUGACAAAAGACCCAAAAUUUUCACGUGCUGGGCCAGCUGCUGCCGGCUGGACCAAGCCGAUGAUCAAUAUUAAUGCAGAACGUUAGGAAACCUGUAAUAUUUCAAGUCAUAAAUAUAGAUGUUGAAUAAAUAAAUUUAUUGUUUAACAACAAUGAAGGCAAAAAUUAGUUACUAUUAACGAACAUAAAUAUUCGUUAAUUAUUUUUAAAAGUUUUUAUAUUUGAUAUUAUUUAGUUUGUUUUUUUUAAAAAAAAUUCCUUAAUUUUUGAAGGCAGAAGCUCACCCAUUUUGACUCCAAGCUGGUAGGGUCAUUUUCAUAUUCCCAAGUACAAUAAUAUUUGACCAUUGAGGUGGAAUUCUUGACUUGAUCUUCCACAUCAUGUUGGGCCAAGCUAAUUAGGAAAUCUGUAAUGUGGCAGAUUAUAUAUUCAAGUCAUAAAUUAAUAUAUACCUUUUUGUCAAAGUUAUUUACAUCGGAACUUCCUUGAACAAAGUUGAUAUCGAAUAUCACUUGAGAGAAAAAUAUGAUUGAUAAAAAAUAACACUUUCUAACUAACCUUCUAAAUUUUGAAUGAAAGUUGUUUUAGUGUAUUGGAAUUUGUUUAAAAAAAUUAUUAUUGAAUAUAUAUAUAUAUAUUAAAUAAAUAUAAUCAAUGAACUCAAUAAACUUUUUGGUUUGACCUUCCAAUUUUUUCAACAAAAUGACAUAUUUUUUCAACAAAACGACAAAUAUAAGAAAAUCAAGAAUAAAAACGCAAGCAAGGAGGAAUAAUUUGCAAAGUAUCUAAAAUUCAAUCCUCUAUCUAUUAUAGAGAAAACAAAGAGUGGAAAAGUAAUCCAAAAUGUAUCAAAGGUACUCCCUGUUUCAACCUAAUACAUCAAAAACCAACCAUGCAUAAAGGUCGAAAUCUUAUUGAUCCAACUUCUUAUAUUAAAUUUCUUUAGUGAUAAAGGAAGUUCAAAUCAAACCUAAAAUUCUCUAUGGUCAAAAGGAGGUUCAAAGCAUCCCAAAACCUAAAAUUAUUUAGGGUCACAAGGAGUUUUAAAUAAUUCUCUAAAUUCUCUAAAAUUUAAGAUUGGACACUUUUGACAAUUUUUUGAUCGAAUACCUACAAACUCUUAUAAUUACAAUUUUUAGAAAAUUAAGUAAUCUAGAUAUAAUAGAGUAUGAAAAACUAAUUUAUAGGAUACAAAGAAAAAAAUUAAUUUUUAGAAUUCAAAUGAAGUUCAAAAUUAAAAAGAAUAAAACAUAACUAAAUAAAAUAAGAUUUCAAUGGAACAUUGGAGAAGCUAGAAAACAUUUAUAUGUAAAAAUUGCUACUUGAAGAAACAACUAUUUGAAUUGAAGAUGGAUGAAGAAUAGACGGUAGGGAUUAUAUAAAUAAAUUUAAUAAGCGCAUCGUCCGAUUAUUAAGUAUAGCGGUUACGAUUGAUGAGGAAGAUUAACAUAUUUUUUUUAUCGGCAUCCCUACCAAAAUAAUAUGAGCCAGUGGUAACUGUGCUCUUAGUUGAAAAGAUGAUGUUAAUAGUGGAUAAGCCAUCAAUUGCUCUUUUAGAGACAAAAAAUUAAGUAGCCAAGUAGUUCAUCUCAUACAAAACAAGCUCUUGUGAUGAAUUAUAAAUCACAUCGUGGUAACAGCAAGUCAUGAUAGAGAUAUUAUGAUAGGAGAAAUUAUCAUUCUUAAAUCACACUUUUGAACUGAUAUGGAAAUUUAUUACUACCCAAGAAAAGGACAUAUUAAAAGGCACUAUGAAGAAUUGACAAAGCAUGUAGAAACAAGGAAAAAUCUUGAAUCCCAUGAGGCUCUACUAAUAUUCUUGAUGAAAUUUUUGUUGGCUCUUGGAUUUUUGGUUUUGGUGUUCUUUUCAUAUGUGCCCAAAUAAGGAGAGGUUUGAUAUCUAUAAUGAAUGUGAUGCUAGUACUAUAUGAAUGGAUAAUGAAUCAAGCUCUAAAUUGAUCAGGAUUGACACCAUGAUAGUGAAGAUGUUUGAUUGUGUUGUGAGGAUAUUGUGUAAUGUUAAGCAUGCAUGUUCCUAAUUUAAGGAGUAUAAUUUUUUGGGGGGCUUGGGGCUCUUUGGGUUAUGAUUUUUCAGCAAAUAACUAUGUAAUAAAAAUUAAUCAAGGUACUUUGAUAGCUAUGAAAGAGAAAAAGUUCAAAUAUUUAUACACCUUGAUUGAGAAGAUAAUUUUAGGUGAAGCCACACCAUGAAGAGUAUUUUGCUAGUGAUAAAGAAGUUAUCAAAGUAAAAGAGUGCAACAAGACGAUUAAGACUCCAUUUUCAACUAAGGGUACUCAAUGGCAUAAGGAUGAUACUAAUUGCAAAAGGAAUGAAGUUAUAUAUAUAUAAUUUUGUUGAGUCUAGUUGUAUGAGAAUUUGAACUUGAUACAUGUUUAUUAUCAUUAAUUAUGCAAGAUUGAGAGAAUUUGAGUCAAGGUGAAGGUUUAUGGAAGUUGGUUCAAAUAAUUUGUUCUUUAUUUUUAGGAUAGUCAAAUAUUUAUAGAGUUUGUAUUUUAGUAAAUUACCAUUUUAAGUUUGACUAGGAUUAGGAAACUAUUAAUUUAGAUUUAAACCAUAGGGCUUUGUAAAUAUGUUGUUUUAUAUAUAAUUUCAAGAGAGAGUGAAAAGGUUAACAAAGAGCUAUGAGAAUUAGGCAAAGAGUGUCUUAGAUUUUGGGCAGAUAGAGGUUGACGGUGUUUGAGUUUGUAUUUAUGAAGUUUAUUAAUAAAUUUAAUCUCCUUGUGUAGUGGAAGUAGGCAAUUAGGCCAAACUAUGUAAAUCUUUUCCCUUCUCUAAUUUAAUUUAUUUUACCAACUUCAUUUGGGUCAAACAAAAGGAAUACAACAAGGAAGCCCAUUUCCUUGGUUUUUAUGAAUAUAUUUUUACACUAAUUCAAUAUCAAAAUGGUUGCCUUUCAAAUGUUGCUUAAAUCCAUCCUUUUAUGUAGGAAUCACAAAGCUUAGGAUGUAACCCCAUUAAUGAAAUUCAAGAAGGAAUAGCACAAUUGGUUUUAGGUUAUGAUGAAGCCCUCAGGCCUAAUGGAUUUGAAACUUGCAAAAAUCAUACAAUGAGAUAGUGGAUGAACUGGCAAUAGGUACAUCUCAAACUAAUGGUUCUACUUAUAAGGGGUGUAAAGGCGGAUAUCAAAGAAAGAUAACCUUACAUGUGGAUUGCGGUAACUUGAGUCAAGGUGAUAUUGUUGGAAAUUUUGACUCAAAUGAUUUAUUUUUUAAUUUGAGGAAAGUCAAUAUUUGUAUAGUUUAUGUUUAAGUAAAAUAACUUUUUAAGUUUGGCAAGGAUUCAAGAGCUUAUCAUUUAGGUUAGCCUUUGGGACUUCAUAAAUAUGUGGUUUUUUUCAUAGGAUUUCAAGAGAGAGUUAGAAAAGUGAAUGGAAAGUGAAGAGAGAUAGGGAAAGUUUUGGGAAAAUCACAAUACCCAAAUACAAUAGGAAAAACAAAAUAAAUUAGAAAAGAUAAGCGAUUUACAUGGUUCGACCUAAUCAUCUAGGUCUACUAUAAAGGGAAAUCAAAUAUAUAAUAAAAUUCAAAAUGGCAAAAUCACAAAACCUAAAUACACACAGGAAAAAGUAAAAUAAAUUAGAGAAAAGAAAAAAUUUACUUCGUUCAACUUAAUCGCCUAAGUCUAUUAUAGAGGGAGAUCGAAUUUAUUAAUAAAAUUUAGAAAUACAAAAUCAAACUUUGUCAAGCUCUCUUUACCCAAAACCCAAUGCUUAGAGUUUUCAAAGAAAUCAGAAUCCUUCUCAACUUUAGAACUUGCUUAAGAUUAGUCAGUGUCUUGACAACAUAAAAAAUCUUCACAUUCGCAAUACCAAUCCAAAAGGUUUUAGUGCUUGAACCAUUUAUCAUUAAAACUAUAUUAGCAUUGCAUGCCUUAUAGAUAUCAGACCACUCCUUAUAUGGAGGUCCAUAUGAAAUAAACAUCAAAGAGUCAUAAAAAUUUUCAUCAACUAUAGUAGAAAAAACAUUACCUUAUCAAAAUCUUCAUCAACAACAUCAAUUAAUAGAUUUUGAAGUUUCUUAAGAUUCAAGAAUUUUCUUUUCUUCCAGGUGUUUUGUCAUUUCUUCACGGUAUCUUAUGAUACGUUCCUUUUGUGAAAGAGUAACACUCCACAUAUAUCCAAUAGUGUGAUUGGAAAUGAUUAGUUCUUCUAUCUUAAUAUCUCCUCUAUGAUUUACCCCUACUAGAUUAUAAUUUAGACUUCAUCAUAAGAGCUUAUUGGAUAUGAGAUGAACUAUUUGGCUACUUAAUAAUUUUUGUUUCCAGAUCAGUAGUUGACAUCUCAUCCAUAAUAAACGUUUUCUUUCCAUAAAAUAGUAGUUUCAACUUCCUCAUCAAUGUUGACCUUUACGCUCAAUAUAUAGGUUGUACACUUAUUGAAUUUAUUUAUAUGAAGAUCAAUUCCUUCAUUCAUCUUCAAAUUCAUAUAAUUGUUCACUACAAAAAAUUUGAGUUUUACCAACCCACUUAAGUUUACUUUUGUAAUGGAUUUAAGUUGUCGCUUACAUAUGUAAUUUUUUGUGAACAGUAAUUACAAGUUCUUGAGUUUAGACUGAUUAUGUAAGUGUAGACCUUCCAUUUUGUCCCCUUAGCACAUGUGAUACUAAUUGUUUUCCCUAAUAUUUUUCUCUUGCCUUGUGAUCAUCCCUUGGUGACCCAUCGAUACUUAAAUAGCUACUUUUUUUUAGCCACCUUCAAGGAUCCUUUGUUGAUGGAUUUAUCUAGACCUGCACUAUGACCUUGGUUGCCUUUCAAUCUUAGGUUAGGCUUCAUUUAGUUGCGUUUCCACUUAGUUCCCCUAGACAUUGUCUUAGAGACUUAGGUCACUUAGACACCGCUUUGGGAUGGUUUUCACUUAGACUCUUCACUAGGCUUAGUUCACUUAGGUUUGGUUUUUGGUUCAUUUUUGAGUUUUAGGCUUGAGUGAGUUUUCUUUUACUUGAUUCCAUUUUCCGUUCUAUUAUUGCAUAAAAUGGCUUUCUAACAUUUACUUGUGUGAGUGUGAUAUUUCUAUCUUAUUAUUUAUUGCUUUUAGUUUAAUAUCUUGAUUUCUUUUUAUUAUAUACAUUCGAUUUUUAUAUUUAUAUUUCCGCUCGUACUAUUUAUUUAUUUAUUUUAUAGAAUAUUGCACAAGAUUGAUGUUCUUAAUAGCAUAAAUAGAUGUCUUGAUUUCUUGUGUACAUAUAACUGACAUAUUUUUUACAUAUUUUUUUUUUUAAUGGCAUGAUUUCUUAUCUUAUUUAUUUAUUUAUACUUUUUCUUCAAUUUUAUUUUGACAUGAUUAGCUUUUGGAGGGACUGUCAAUGACUUACCAUCUACACGCAAUUGGGAGGAGAAUCCACACAUACCAUUUAAACUCCACAAGGCUGCAAUCGGAAGGAAGAUAUGCACAGUCCACUUUCCAUGAAAAUCUCCACAACACGCAUCAAGGAUAGGGCUAUAGAGUCCUAUAGGGUAACACUAAACAAUAAGAUUUUUUAAUGCUAGCUAGUUGAACUUAAAAAAGUAAUUUAUCCAAAUCUAAACUAUAUUGACUUUCCCAAAAACAAAAAGAAAAAAUUGAGUUAAAAUUACCAACACAUAAGGCCUACUCUAUUGAUCACAAAUGUUAUAUAUUCAUUGAUAUCAAUUUCCUAAUAAGGUAGUAAGCAUAUUCUCAAAUUCUUCUAAACGAAGUCUUUUUGUCUCCAAUGAAACUUUCUUAUACAUUUUUCAUUUUAAAUUUUGAGAUCGUAAUCAAACAAACUAAGUUAUGGUUAAAUGUAUGUGAGUAUUGUGCUUGGACAAGAGAGAUGAUCCAACUUAUUUAUACAAAUCAUCAAUGAAGUAUCACUCAUUAUAGAACUCCUAAUCUAAUUAAGUUAAUACUCCUACACAGUCUUAAUUAAUCCAAUCUAAAUGUAAGAAUUAAUCUAUUGUAACCAUAUAUUAAAAUAUUGCGAAAAUACGUCAAAAGAUCAAAUAUUUUUUAGUGUAUCGAUUAUGGCUAAUAUGAUAUAAGGAGUGAAUAAUUGGUAGAAUGUUAUAAAAUAUGAGAUUUUGUACCACUAUGGUAACUUGUGAAUGAUCAUCCAUAAAUAUCUAUUGUAAUUCCAUAUAAAAGGGAGAGACCCUUAAUGAAAUUGAAUAUAGAGUUUUCCCGUGCAUUCUAUUCUCUUCUUACAUUUUGAUUUCUCUUGUUUUCUUCUCGUUUCACUUUACAAUUUUAUAACACAUUAUCAGCACGACUAGUCUCUACAAAAGAAAUAGAAAGAUUUUUCUCUAUUCAGAAAAAUGGAAAGAUCUUCUCUCUUCUUUCUCACGAAAAAGUAUGUGAUAAACUUAUAUCAUGAAUUUCUAUUUUAUUACCCUUUGAUCUCUAUUUUAAGUUAUUUUAUUUGAAUACAUAAAUAUGUAGAAUCCCUAUAACCAGAAGUUAUGAAAAAUAUGUGCAAUUUCUAUAACCAGAAGUUAUGAGGAAAAAUUACAGAAUUACAGAUACAUGAUUAGAAGUUAUUUAUAUGAUCUCUAAUUAUUUAUUUUUAAUUAUACGGUAUAACUGGAUGUUAUACCAAACAAUAUUAGCCAGAAGCUAUAAAAUAAAUAAAUAAAUGUUCAUAGCCCGAAGUCUACAUAAUGAAAGUUCAUAGCUCGAAGCUAUGCACAAAUCUACCUAAUGAAUAGUUCAUAGCCUGAAUCUAUAUAUAAAUUUAUAUAAAAAAAAAUAGUUCAUAGCCUAAGUGAUGUAAAAAUUUAAAUAUUUUCUUAUUCUGACAAAAUAAUCAUGGUCUGAAGCUAUGAAAGAUAUUAAUUUUUAAUUUCUUUUAAUUAUAUUGUGUAACUAGAAGUUAUACAUAAAUAGUUCAUAGCCUGAAGCUAUGUACAAAUUUGAAUAUUUUCUUAUUUUGGCAAAAUAAUCAUAACUCAAAGUUAUGAAAAAUAUUGGAUUUAAUUUUUAUUUCGUACUCAUUUAUUUUUCACAACAGGAAUUAUGGAAAACAAUUUUUAUUAACAAUUGUUUCAUAGCCAGAAGUUAUGCAUACAAUUUCUAAUUCUCUUGUAUAACCAGAACUUAUUCAAAACAAAAAUGUUAAUGAAUCUUGGAGCUAUGAUUAAAGAAGGAAAUCAAGCAUCCCUAUAGGAUCAUGCAAAAACACUGAUUUUCCUUCGUCAUCAUCUCCAUGAAUGUUUAACAAAAAUGGGCUGUUGAUGAGAAAUCACCAAUCUCGUCCAACUAGAUUUGAAUCAUUCCCUGAAGUGAAUGUAAUAUUGUCCCAAACUCAUGGACGAUGACAACGACAAGGUCGUGGUCAUGGAAGAAAUCCCUAAUACCAUGGUUCUUAUAGUAAUAAUUCACCAAAUUCUCAAAAAAGAAAAACCUCAUUGCACCACUAGAAGUGGAAUAAUACUGAGGUAAAACAAGAAAAUGGGAAGUGUUUACAAGAUAAACCUCCUAAGAACCAUGAGAAUAAUUGUUAUAAAUGUGGUAUGAAGGGGCAUUGGUUGCAUACCUAUCGUACGCCCAACAUUUGGUCGACCUUUACUAAGCAUGAAUAAAAGGAAUGGAAGUUGAAAUGAACUUCAUUGAUAGUGAUGGCCAAGUGGAUCUAACCCAUUUAGAUGUUUCAGAUUUCUUUGAGAAUCCUAAUGGGAAAAUUGACCAUCUAAUUGGUGAUGGAAAUGUUUGUUAUGAUUAAACGUUAUGUUUAGUUAUUUGCAAAUAGGUUUAUUUUGUUAUCAUCUUUGAACACAUUGUUUAUUGUUCAUCUUUUAUAGUUUAUUUCACAUUUUAUUAUUUAUCAUUUAAAUUCUUUUCUUUAUUUAUACUUGAAGAUAUAUGAAUCUCUCUCAUAUAUUGAUCCAUCACUACAAUUAGUUUGAUUAUUGAAAUACCACCUUGUUAUUUCAUGUAUAAAUUGCUCAACACUUACAAAAUCAAAUGUGUGAGAUACUUACGAAAUAUAUAACUUUAAAUUAUCUUUUCAUAUUUGUUUUAUUGUGUUAUAUAUGCUCUCAUUGCUUUUACACAACUUAUUAAGUUAAGUCAUCAUCGAUGACUAAUAUUCUUCCAUUGAUUUUAAUUCUUUCUCUAUGAUAACAUUUCUUCAACUCUACAAAGACAAAGUCUUUAUGACAAUGUUUUAUGACUUAUUAAUUUGAUGAAACUCUUGUCUCAUUAAUUGCACAACAUUGAUGACAAACAAUGUUAAUACUAUAUCAGGUGACAGAAACCUGAUUAAAGGCUCCAGAAGAGCUUAUACUAUGUCACUAGUAGUAUUUGAUUCCAUGUGAAUGACACUUUAUACGAUGAUAGAUCCAGAAGAAUCUUGUAAGACCAACUUGGUCCCCCGGGGUAAAAGGUCAUAUGGAUGUACAUUACAAAACCAGAAGUUUUUAAUUAGUGACUAGUCUACCUAUACACUUAAAAGGUAGAAUGACAUGUUGUGCAGAUUAUCAUUUUAAUGAGACAAUUUUCUCACCGUUAGGGGGAGAAGAGCCAGUUCCAGAAGAACGGCGUGAAAUUAUUUGGAAUGCAUUGACUUUGACUCAUCUUGAUCCUCAUACAAAUCAAUGUGAAUUAGAAGUUCAAAGGACUAUUCAUUUGCAAAAUCUUACAAAUAAAUUACAAGAUGCAUUUAUUGAUACAAAGAAAGUGACAAAAUCAUAUAUCCCGGCUGCAAAUACUCUAGCACAGAUUGAUGUCCUUGUAGGACAGUUAACAAAUUAAUCUAAGAUACGCUUGAAGCGUGGUAGACCUAACGGCUCUAAGGAUGUAACUCUCCGGAAGAGGAGAACCCAAGAAAAACUUAGCACUCUAAAAGAGGCCAUAAAAAAUAACUGAUCAGUUUAAAAUUGAUAAAUCUAUAGCCCUGGAAGAGGCACAAAUAAUACAAGAAGCCCUUGAAGAGGCACAUAUAUUGAACAAAAAGCCCUUGAAGAGGCAUAAGUACCCGAAAAUUCUGAGAUCUCAGUAAGUUAUGUAUACACGGGAGAAAAAUUGGAUCAAAAUAAUAUUAUUUUCACUUUCCAAGUGGCCUUCAUAAGAAAUGAUGAAGAUCUUGAACCACGAAAUGUGGAAGAAUGCCGACAUAGAAAUGAUUGGCCAAAAUGGAAAAAAGUUAUACAGGCAAAGUUAAACUCAUUAAUAAAAUGAGAAGUUUUUGGACCUGUAGUCCAAACACCUGAAGAUGUAAAGCCUGUUGGGUACAAAGGGGUAUUUGUACGAAAACGCAAUGAGAAUAAUGAGAUCAUAAGAUAUAAAGUGUGAUUAGUAGCACAAGGUUUCUCGCAAAAACCUGGUAUUGACUAUGAGAAAACAUUAUUUCCCGUCAUGGACACAAUCACAUAUAAUUUCUUAAUUAGUUUGGCAGUCCAAGAAGGACUAGAUAUGCGUCUCAUGAAUGUUAUUACAGUAUAUUUAUAUGGAUCCAUGGAUAAUGAUAUAUACAUGAAAAUCUCUGAAGGAUUUAAAUUGCCUGAAGCAAAUUGUACAAAGCCUCGUAGCAUGUACUCAAUCAAGUUACAACGAUCCUUGUAUGGAUUAAAGUAAUUUGGAUGCAUGUGGUACAAUCGCUUUAGCGAAUAAUUGCUAAAAGAAGGGUAUAUGAAUAAUCUUUUAUGCCCAUGCAUCUUCAUUAAGAAAUCAGAAACCAGAUUUGCAAUUAUGGCAGUGUAUGUUGAUGACUUAAAUCUUGUUGGAACUCUUGAAGAGCUCACAAAAACAAAAAAUUAAUUGAAAAAUGAAUUUGAGAUGAAAGGUCUUGGAAAAACAAAAUUCUGUCUCGGUUUGCAGAUUAAGCAUUUUCCAAAUGGAGUUUUAUUACAUCAAUCAACAUACAUUAAGAAAGUUUUGAAGCAUUUUUAUAUGGAUAAAGUGCAUCCUUUAAGUUCUCCAAUGAUUGUCCGAUCACUUGAUGUGAAAAAUGACGCAUUUCGUCCUUGCGAAAAAUGAUGAAGAAUUAUUUGGUCCUGAAGUACCAUAUCUUAGUGCUAUUGGUGAACUUAUAUAUCUUGCCAAUUGUAUACGUCCAAACAUUGCUUUUUCUAUCAAUUUAUUAGCAAGAUAUAGUUUCGCUCCAACUCAAAGACAUUGGAAUGGUAUCAAACAUAUAUUGCGUUAUCUUUGCGAAACUACUAGUAUGAGUCUAUUUUACUCAAGAGAAUCAAAGCAACAAUUGCUUGGAUAUGCAGAUGCAGAAUAUCUUUUAGAUCCUUAUAAAGGUAAGUCACAAACAUGGUAUGUGUUUAAUUACAAUGGUACUGUUAUCUCAUGGAGAUCUAUCAAACAAACAAUGGUGGUCACGUCAUCAAAUCAUUCAGAAAUUCUUGCAAUUCAUGAAGCAAGUUGUGAAUAUGUAUGGUUAAGGUCAAUGAUCCAACAUAUUCAAGAAACAUGUGGACUACCUUCCAUUAGAGGCAAUGCAACCAAGUUACAUGAAGAUAAUGUUGCUUGUAUUGCACAAAUUAAAGGAGGAUUCAUAAAAGGUGACAUAACUAAGCAUAUCUCCCCUAAAUUAUUCUAUACUCAUGAGCUCCAAAAGAAAGGUGAGAUCGAUGUUCAACAUAUUCGAUCAUGCAAUAAUCUAGCAGAUUUAUUCACAAAGGCGUUACCUUCGACCGCAUUGAAAAAGUUAAAGUAUGACUUUGGAAUACGAAGAUUGAGAGAUCUACCAUUUGAAAUGUUGAAGAAAUCAUAAUCAUGUUUACAUGAGGAGGAGAAUGAUAAUAUGGAUAUACUGCACUAUUUUUUCCUUCGUCCAAGUUUUGUCCCAAUGGGUUUUACUGGCAAGGUUUUUAACGAGGCAAUUAUAGUAAUCCAAAAGAAUAUUGUACUCUUUUUCCUUCACUAGGGUUUUUCCCAUAGGGUUUUUCCUAGUAAGGUUUUAAUGAGGCAUAUUCUUAUGAUCAUCCAAGGGAGAGUGUUAUAAAAUAUGAGAUUUUGUACCACUAUGGUAACUUGUGGAUGAUCAUCCAUAAAUAUCUCUUGUAACUCCCUAUAAAAGGAAGAGACCCCUAAUGAAAUUGAAUAUAGAGUUUUCCCGUGCAUUCUAUUCUCUUCCUACAUUUUGAUUUCUCUUGUUUUCUUCUCCUUUCACUUUAUAAUUUUACAACAUAGAAAGUUUUUUCAGAUGUUCACCAAAUUUAUUGGGAUUUGCCUUAUACCACGAUGGCAUCUAGAAUGACCUCGCCAAGCGCAAAACUUCAUCCCUAUUAACAUAUGUGCAUAAGUUUUAUAUAUACUAAUUUUAUAUCUUCUAAUAUUUCUAAUAUAUUCAUAUAAAAAAUGAAAUAUUUAAAUACAAUUUUAAUAAAUAAAUUAAUUUUAAUCAUCUUAUUUUUAAAUUUCAUUUAACUAGUUAUUAAAUAUAUAAAAACUAUCAUGAAAAUCUUUUUAAUAAAUUAAUAUUUUUUAUAUCUUUUAUAUAUUGAUUAAAUUCAAGAGAAAUAUAAGCUCAUAAAUAAAAUGACAUAAUUUUUAAAAAAAAUAAUGAUACAUAUAUUAUAAUUUCUUUUAUAUUCUUAAAUACAUCCAAAUUAUAUAGAUCUUAUUUUAGUGGUAUAUCAAAUAAUUGUGUUUUAAUUUUUAUACGUUAUUAUCUAAUGUGACAAAUUUUGUCGUAUUUUGAUAUUUUAUUAUGACUUGAAUAUAUAAUCUACCUCAUUAUAGAUUUCAUAAAAUUUUGUAUUAAUAUCGAAUCGUUAGCUUAGAAGUCAAGAAUCCCAACUCAAUGGUCAAACAAUAUGGUAUGUGGGGCAUAUGAAAGUGAUCCUCCCAGCUUGGAGACAAAAAGUUGUUUUUAUUUUUAUUUAUUUAUUCUUUUUAACAAAUAGAGCAAAUUUUAAAAAUAAUUUUCUGUUUUUAAAUUUACUGCUCUUUGUACCAUGCAUGGAAGCGCCGACAUGGACAUUACCAACAUGGACAUUAGAUCAAAACCUAAAACGAGCAUAAUUCUUUAUGGAUAUUCUCCCGGCGGUGGUAGUUACCCGGUUGCUGAGGUUGCUUCAAAUUACUCACAACUUUUAUUGCCCUUAUUUUCAAACAUAUAUAGAAGGACGAUAUCCUAAGCAGAGAAAGCCAAAGAAACGUAAUCGAGUUGAAUACUUUCUCAGUUCCUACUUCCAGCGGAGGAAUAGAAGAACAGGCAUAGGGGAGGAAGAAAGACAAAAGCAAAAAUAAAUUAAUGAAUGAAAACGGCAGCCUACCAACUUGGACAUCAGAUCAUAUUUCCCUGGAUUAUUCAAAUGCCCAUCUACCUACAUACAAGUCCCCAUUCAUAUAUCAUCAAAUAUAAGCAAAGGAGAAACCAAUUCAAUGACAACUAGAGCUAUCAAAUCCAAUAUUUCUUUUAUUAAUUUACUUUUCAAUAAUGUUCAUAUGAACACAACAUUACAAUGUUUAGGGAAUCUUCAAGAUGAUAAAACAGUCUGAACUUGAAACUCAACCGUUUCAUUUGAGCUCACCAAGAGGGUCUAAUAAUCACUAGAUUACAAUCUAAAUUUAGAAAAAAAUAAUAAAAUAGUAUAAGAGUAUAAUUUAGUUUCGGAGAUAAAUACCUUACUCCUAUUCAACAUAAUAGGACAUUGAAGGGACCAUUCUCUUUUCCUUCACUUAAUUUGUCACCAUAGGAAUGCUAUGCAACACAACAGUUUCAAUAGUCAAGCCUGGUCCAAAACCAAAUAAUACUCCCCAAUCCAAUCCUUCACCUGUGGUGGCCCUCUCCCCCUUAAGGGAUUUCUUUCUCAUCUCAUCCAAAAUAAACAACACACAUGCACUUGACAUGUUUCCAUACUCACUUAGCACAUGCCUCGUUGCUUCGAGUUUCUUUUUAUCUAAAUUGAGUUUUGCUUCAACUGCAUCAAGAAUUGCAGGGCCACCUGGGUGAGCAAUCCAAAAUAAGGAGUUCCAAUCGCUAAUACCAAGUGGGUCAAAAGCCUGAGUCAAACAUUUCUCUAUGUUCUCAGAAAUUAAAGUGGGCACAUUGGGCCACAAAUGAAAGGUGAGUCCCACCUCACGUAAGUUUCCUGCAAUGGCACCUGCAGAAUUAGGAAUAAAUGUUUGGGCUGCUGAGACAAGCUGGAAGAGUGGUCGUUCAAUUGAGAUAUCCGGAUCUGAUCCUACGAUUACAGCUGCAGACCCAUCACCAAAAAGGGCUUGGCCAACUAAAGAGUCCAAAGCAUCUUCGGAAGGGCCGCGAAAUGUAACAACUGUGAUCUCAGAGCACACCACAAGAACUCGUGCUCCUGCAUUAUUCUCUGCAAGAUCCUUAGCGGUUCGAAGGACAGUUCCACCUGCAUAGCACCCUUGAUGGUACAACAUCACUCUUCUGACAGAUGGUUCGAGGCCUAAGAGAUUAGCGAGUUUAUAAUCUGCACCAGGCAUUUCUACACCUGAGGUGGUACAAAAUACAAGGUGGGUGAUCUUCGAUUUAGGCUGACCCCACUCUUUAAGAGCCUUCAAUGCUGCUUCCUUACCGAGCUUGGGUACCUCAGCAGUGAUAAUCUCUUGGCGUAUGUUAAGAGAUGGAGCCAUAUAAGCACCAAUGUUUGGGUGCUCCUCAAGCAUUUCUUCGGUCAAAUGAAUGUAACGCUUCUUGAUCAUGGAUUUGUCACCUGUAAAUGAAAUAACAUGAACACAUUAGUUUUACCAAUCAACAAGUGAUAUAGAAUAUCGUUGAAUAUGAUCGACAUGCAUUUAACAUUGAAGCAAGUAUAAAAGGUUAUUCUUAAUUAUAGCUGGCAAUGCGACAUGAUUCAAAGAACAGCUCUUCAAGCCAUUACAGUCAGAUGAAAUGAAUAUUAGUUACUGAAGUAAAAUAAUUUUCAAGUUUUCUGUAGUAUUUUAUCUAAAAGCUAUACUCUAGAAAGAUUGCAACAUUCAUUCACUUGGAGGUGAGCCUCACCUAGUGUCAGUCACAUAUAUACAGAACUGUUAUGCAUGUAAGAAAUUAAUGCAUGAAUAUACUUACAUAUGCGAUUGAACUUCUUCUUCAACGCAGUCAUGUGCUCGCUCUUAGUGACCCUGAAAUAGUAAUCAGCAUAAUCAGACUGGUAGACACAGUGGUCAGGGGUAGCUGUGCCAAUGGCUAGGAUGGUGGCCGGACCCUUGGCACGUUGAGCGUUUCUAAUUUCCUCGACUGAAGCCAUUGAUCCCAGCUACGUACUCAAAUUAAAGCCUAAGAUUAAGUUGAGGAAGGAAAGAGAACUCAGUGUGCACAAGUGCUUGGAGUUGGCUUGAGAAAGCUCGGUGUGAGUGUUGGCCUUUUAUAACCUGUGUUUCACCAACUCUCAUCCAUUGGUAGUCUUUGAAUUAUCAGUUGGCGUCAAAGUUUGUGUGCGUGAGUUUUUUUCCUGGUGGGGUUGAUUUUCAGACAUGUAUGCAUGCGUUAAUGUAUUUGUGUUGUUUUCUGUUCUUCACCUACCCAUAGGAAGGAGAAAGCAUUCAAUCCGGUCACAUUUGUUAUAUAUAGAGAUAAAGACUUUUCCAGCCUCCUGGAAAUUAAUGCAUUGUUCAUUUGACUUUUCCAUGUGUGGGAAGCUGCUACCAACUUUCUUAUUGAAGAAUUCAUCAAAGUCAUUCAAAUUUGGAUUUCUAAAUUUGAAAUAACCUCAACAACCCAAUAAUUAAUGCAUUAUUUUUCUUUUGCAGGAUUACAUCACAUGUUAUUUAACUUAUUCAAUAAGUAAUUCAACAAAUAUCUCAUUUUUAUUUAACCUAUUUCGUCAUCUAACUUGCUAAGAACUCGUUUGAUUCUCUCUCUCUCACACAUUGAAGAAUUCAUCAAAGUCAUUUAAAUUUGGAUUUCUAAAUUUGAAAUAACUUCAACAACCCAAUACCUAAUGCAUUAUUUUUCUUUUUCAGGAUUACAUCACAUUUCAUUUUACUUAUUCAAAAGUAAUUCAACAAAUAUCUCAUUUUUAUUUAACCUAUUUUGUCAUUUAGUGAUUGACUUUUCAAUUGACACCAACCUUUAAUGCUCCUUCAAUAAAACUCUUUAAUUACUAUGUUGCCCUUUUGAGUUUCCAUCAUUCUUUCAGUUGACAACAAUUCAUUCCCCAUAUAUAGGCUAUUUUUGUAAAAUGUUUCUUUCCAAAAAGGCACUAUAAAGUCCUUAUAAAACAUUAAAUUCCUUUUAUCUAUACAAUAUAUAAAAUUACAAUGUGUCUUUUUUUCAAAAAUAACUUUAUUAUUUCGAUUUUAUGCGCUUAUAUCAUAUCUUUAUUAUAUGUAAUUAAUUCAAAUAAUGUUUAUUUUUUCUAAGGACAAUUUACUCUUUAUAAAAAUUAUUAUAAUGUAAUUAAAAUAAUUUUAAUACGUUCAUAAAAGAUUUGGAUAAAAAAAAAAUCCUCUUUUAAAAAAAUGAUAAUAAUUUAGGUUUUUAAUACAAAGUGUUUCGACAUUUUUUUCCCAAAAAUAGUCUUAUCAUUUCUAUUAUAUGCGCUUAUAUCCUAUCAUUAUUAUUAUAUGUAAUUAAUUCAUAUAAUGUUUAUUUUUCAAAGGACAACCUACUCUUUUUAAAAAUUAUUAUAAUGAAAUUAAAAUAAUUUUAAUAUCUUCAUAAAAAAAAACUUAAAUUAGAUAAAGAUCCUCUUUAAAAAUUUUAAAAUGAUGAUAAUUUAAGUUUUUAUUAUUAAUUUAUUGAAUUAAAAAAAUUAGAUAAAAUUAAAGUUACAUAAAUACAAAAUAAUAUUUUUUUAGAAUCCGAAUUACAUAUUUUUUUUCUAUUACAAAUGCUUAUAUCCUAUCAUUAUUAGAUGUAAUUAGUAAUUCAAAUAAUGUUUUUUUCAAGGACAACCUACAUUUUAGAAAAAUUAUCAUAAUCUGUAUAUAUUAUAUAUAAAAGUACAAAGUAUUUGUAGUCUUAUCAUUUCUAUUAUAUAUGUUUACAUCCUAUUAUUAUUAUUAUAUCUAAUUAAUUAAGAUAAUAUUUGUUUUCUUCAAGGACAACCUACUCUUUAAAAAAAUUAUAAUAAUUUAAUUAACAAUAAUUUUCAUAUCUUGAUAAAAAAAAGAAGGGGGACUAGAUAAGGGUCCUCCAUAAAUAUAUAUAUAUAUAAUAAUUUAAGUUUUUAUUCUUAAUUUAUCUAUACUACAUUUAAAAGACUGAAGUGUUUGUCGAGUUUUUUUUCCUUGGCCUUAUCAUCUCACUUAUAUACAGUUAUAUUCAUCAUUAUUUUAUUUAAUUAAUUGAGAUAAUGUUUUUGGACAACCUAUAAAUUAAUUUAGAUAAUAUUUUUCUUUCAAAAAAAUAAUUAUAUAUGUUUUUUAAAAAAAAAUAAAAAACUAAUUUAGAUAAUGAUUCUCUUUAUAAAAAAAAUUAUCAUAAACUAAGUUUCCAUUCAUAAUUUAUUCAAUAAAAAAGAAAUUUAGAUAAAAAAAAAAUCAAAUAAAUAUAAAAAAAAAUUGUUUUGAAUUAAUUUGUCUUUUUAAUCCAAAUUUUAAAUAGGAUUUAAUGGUUAUUUAAUUUUAAAAAUAUUAAUAUUUCAAGAUGAUAUAAUUUGUUCGCUAAAAAUUUAAUAAAUUGUUCAUGUAUCAUGUAUUUAUUAUUAUUUUGAUUCAAAGUAUUCAUUGUUAUAUCAAUUCAAAAUGAUUUUUUUUUAUGAAUAUUUAUUUAUCAAAAUAAAUAUUAAGAGUCAUUAUCUAUUUAUUUUAUAUUUUUCAUUAAAAAAAUAUUAUUAUUAAAAAAAAAAAGUUUUUUUCACAUCGUUUCAUUUCCUACAGUGACUUUUCAUACAUAAUCAUUCAUAUCCAUUAAUUUCCUUUAUAUAUGACUUUUCAUACAUAUCCAUUCAGUCUCUUUAUGUGCAUUUUUCACCCAUCCAAAAACUUUUCAGUUCGUACCAUUCAUUUCUCAUUCAAUUCAUUUUGUAUCUCCCAUUCAAAAGGAAAAAAAAAAAAAAACACUAAGGCAAGAUGAUCAAGACUCUAUUUUCAAGUAAAGGUACUUAUAGGCAUAAAGAUGAGACUAAUUGGAAAACAAAUGAAGCUAUAAAGAAGAUAAAGACGAUUUCUCAAGACAAGUUCAAUGAGCAUUUGAACUUGACACAUGUUUGUUCUCAUUAAUUGUAUAGUAGUGGCUUCCUACUCAUAAGGGUGCAAAGUUAGGUAUCAAGGAGAGAUAAAUAUACAUAUAGAUUGAGAGAAUUUGAGUCGAAGUAAAGAUUGUUGGUAAUUUUGAAUCAAAAUAUUUAUUGUUUAUUUUUAGGAAAGUCAAUAUUUGUAGAGUUUAUGGUUGAGUAAAUUACCUUUCUAAGUUUGACUAGGAUUUUAAAACUUAUCCUUUAGGGUUAGCAUAUAGGACUCUAUCCAUAUGUGACUUUACAUAGGAUUUCAUGAGAGAUCGAAAAAAAUGAAUGAAGAGUGAAGAGAAAUAAGAAAAUGGUGCAUUGGGUUUUGGGUAGAGAGAGGUUGAUACAGUUUGAGUCUAUAUUUUUUAAGUUUAUAUUUUUUAAGUUUUUUAAUAAAUUCAAUCUCCCUCUAUAAUAGACAUAGGUGAUUAUGUUGAACCAAAUAAAUUGUUUCUCUUCCCUAAUUUAUUUUAUUUUUCCAAUUGUAUUUAGGUGUUGUUAUUUUUUCAUUUUAAAGUUUAUUAUAAAAUUGAUCUCCUUCUAUUGCGAACAUAGGCAAUUAGGUCAAACCAUGUAAAUCUUUUAUCUUCUCUAAUUUAUUUUAUUUUUCCUAUUGUAUUUGAGUGUUGUGAUUUUCCUAACAACUUUGCCUAUCUUUCUUCACUUUUUGUUCUCUUUUUGACCUCUCUUUUGAAAUCCUAUGAAAAAAACCAUAUAUUAAUAAAGUCUUAUAGAUUAACCCUUAAUGAUAAGUUUUGGAAUCCUUGUCAAACUUAAAAAGCCAAUUUACUCAAACAUAAACUCUACAAAUAUUGACUUUCCUCAAAUUAAAAAAUAAAUAAUUUGAGUCAAAUUUACCAACAAUCUCCACCUUGACUCAAGUUCUCUCAUUCUACAUGUAAGGUUAUCUUUUUUUGAUACCCACCUUUACACCCCCCUAUGAAUAAAACUAUCAGCUUGAGAUGCAUUUAUUGUCAGUUCACCCAUUGUCCCAUCGUAUGAUUUUUGUGAGUUUCAGACCCAUUAGGUCCAAGGGCUUCCUCAUAGCCUAAAACCAAUUAUUCUAUUCUAUUUUGUUUGUGGGGCAAAAAUAAGUUUGCAUACUUAAUAAGCUUUGUGAUUCGUACAUAAAAAGGAUGGAUUUAACUAGCAUUCAAAUGGAAAUCAUUUUGAUAUUGAAUUGGUGUAAAAAUAUAUUCAUAAACACCGAGAAAAUGUGGCUUCCUUGUUCUAUUCCUUUCGUUUGACCUAAAUGAAGUUAGUAAAAUAAAAUAAACUAGAGAAGAAAAUAUUUACAUGGUUUGGCCUAAUUGCUUAUAUCCACUACACAGAGAGGCCAAAUUUAUUAAUAAACUUCAUAAAUACAAACUCCAACUCUCUCAACCUCCCUUUACUAUAAACCUAAUACACUCUUUGCCUAACUUUCUUAACUCUUUGUUAACUUUUUCACUCCCUCUUGAAAUCAUAUGCAAAACCACAUAUUUAUAGAGCUUUAUGGUUUAAACCUAAAUCAAUAGUUUCAUAAUCCUAGUCAAACUUAAAAAGGUGAUUUAUUAAAAUACAAACUCUAUAAAUAUUGUCUUUCCUAAAAAUAAAGAAUAAGUUAUUUGAGGUAACUUCCAAAAACCUCAAUAUUGACUCAAAUUCUUUCAAUCUUACAUAAUUAAUGAGAAUAAACAUGUAUCAAGUUCAAAUUUUCGUCAAACUAGACUCAAGAAACUAUUUUUCUCUUUUUUGAUAACUUUAUUCCUUUUGCAAUUAGUAUCAUUCUUAUGCUAAUGAGUACUCUUAUUUGAAAAUACAAUCUUGAUCAUCUUGUUCCACUUUUCUACUUUGACAACUUCUUUAACACUAGGAAAAUACUCUCUAUGGUGUGGCUUCACCCUCAUAGCUUCACCUAAAAUUGUCUUCUCAAUUAAGGUGUAUAAAUAUUUCACAUUUUUCUUUUGCACUGUUAGGAUUGAGUCUAAAAAAACAUGAUAUGAUAUAAUAGAUUGAGAUUCAUUUAUAAAUUUUUUAUCUAUGUUUCUUGGUUUUUCAUUUAUUAUCCUAUUUGCAUUAAUUAGUUACUAAUUUGAGUAUACACACCCACAUCACUUGUAUUGUACAUAGCUUGGGAGCAUUAGGAGUUACAUAGAAAAUCCAAGUCAUGGGUUCCUUACAAAGUGAUGAGCUGUCUAUAGUUGGUUAAUAGAUUUGGGCAAUCUAUUUGAGACUAUAUUGCACUACCUCCUAAUUGGGGGGAUGACUUGUUCUAGUCAUAGGGAUGGUUUUCCCAUGGUAAGUGUACUAUUAUAUGUAAUGCACACUGGACAAGACUUAUGGCGAAUCAUGAUGUAAGUCAUAGGUUCCUUGAAAAGUGAUGAGUUGUCUAUAGUUUUUUUAAUGGAUUUGGGCAAUCUAUUUGAAAUUGUAGUGCAUUAUCUCCUAAUUGGGGAGAUGACUUGUACUGGUCAUUGGGAUGGUUUUCCCAUGGCGAGUGCACUAUUGUAUGUGAUGUACAUUGGACAAGACUUAUGGUAAAUCAUGACGUAAGGCUAUUAGUUAUCAUGAUUCACUUGUUAGGAUUGAGCCUUUAAAAGCAAGAAAUAAUGUAACAAAGUAAGAUUUUACUAUCCCCGGGUUAUCCCUUUUAUGCAUUGACUUUGAUUUGAACAUUCAACUCAUAUCUUUUACAUUGUACAUGACUUAGGUGGAUUAGGAGUUGUAUAAAGGAUACAAGUCAUUAGAUUCAUGUAAAUAGAUAAGUUGUCCAUAGUCAAUUUAUGGAUUUUGGCAAUCCAAUAGAGAUUGUAGUGCAUUACCUCCUAAUUUGAGGGAUGGUUUAUCUUAACCAUCAAGACUAAUUUCCCAUAGUGAGUGCACUAGUGUAUACUGGACAAGACAUAUGAUGAAUCAUGACAUAAGACUAUCAAUUGUCAUGAUUUAUGAAGCUACUAUAUUGUGUAGGCUCUCAACCUUGAGAGGAUAUCGAACCUAUGUCAAAAUCAACAAGAGGCUUUAAUUUAUGAGUGAGAUCCUAAAGUAGUCAUAUAUCCUUAUAGAUUGAGUUAUUCUUGAUGGAGGCUAGUGGUAAUAGGUAUUUUCAAUAAAUGUAUCAUGAUAUCUCAUGAAAUUGACGUAGUAUGUCCCCUUAGAUGGUCCAAAGGACAUGUGAUCAUGAAAUCUAUAACGUCGUAGUAAUUCCUUAAGUGGAAUUUGAUAAAUGCUCUUUAUGGGUUAGAGUAUGUCAAUUGAUCAUAUAAUAAGCGAGGUUUGUGACUUAAGGAUUAUAGAGAUAAUCUUGAUAGGUGAUAGAACUACCUUAUUAGAUUACAUAUACUAAUUCAUGAGGAGUCAACAUGCUGUGGAUAAUAGGUCAUGGACCCAAGCUUCGUGUCAUUGUUAUUUACAUAAGGUACUAGAAUAUAGUUAAUUCUCUUUAGUGGAAUGUUGAAUCAACUUCAAAAUUAGAUUUUGAGGAAGCCAAUACUCCUAUGGAUCCCAAUGGUCCCCAAACUGAGCUCAUAUAUCAUGAUGACACAAUUUAUGAAGGUUGGAGCUCUAAGUUCACUCUUAUACAUAGGAGUGUUUUAGUAAUUAUGCAAGGUAACACAAAGGAUAGUGAAAAAGGUCUCUAGAUUGGUCUAAUAGAUUAAUUAGAAAUCCCUAUGUGGUUAGUUGAUAAAUUAGGACUUGUUUUGGAUUAGAUUAAGUGACUCAAGCCUCGAUGGGCACAAGUCACUUAAGCCUAGUGAGUAACCCAAUAAAUACCUUUUUAGGGAUUAUAGUUUCCUAAUGACUUUCAAUUAGUCAUUUUCCACCUCCAAAGAGAGAGAGAGAGAGAUGGUUAAAGCUUUUUCUUUUCCAUUGCCCAUACUUUGGAGUGCCAAAAUCAUGGUUUGAGUCAUCAAGUAGAAGAUCUUAGGUGUACAAGACCUUUAGACUUCUUCUUAUCAACAUGGAAUUGAUCUGGGAACAUCUAAACUAGGGUAUGAGUUUUUCUUCUCUAGAUCUUUAUCUUAAUAUGGUUUUUGUAGCCAUAUGUUUCCCUUUUGGUAGAUUUAGAGAAGCCCUAGGAUAAUUUACAUGCACAUUACGAUAUUCAAGUUUAGGGAAUGGAGAAAUCCAGAUUUCCCAACAUCAUUAAACUACUAUACUACAUGGACUUUCAACCUUGAGAGCAUAUUGAGUUCGUGUUAAAGUCAAUAAAAGGCUUUGAUCUUUGACUGAGACCUUGAGGUGGUCACAUGUCUCUAUGAAUCGAGUCACUAUUGAUGGAGGUUGGUAGCAACAGGUAUUGUAAAUAAAGACACUGUGAUAUCUUAUAGGUUUGAGACAUCGUGUCCCUUUGGGUAAACCAAAGAACAUGUGAUCUAGAAGACUAUGACCAUAGUAUUUCUUUUAAUGGAAAUUUAACAUAUGCCCAUUAGAGCUAGAGUACGUCAAUUGAUCAUAUAAUGAAUGAGAUCUAUAACUCAAAUAUUAGAGAGGUGAUCUUGUUAGGUGAUAACACUACCUUGUUAUAUUAUAAACACCAAUUCAUAGAGAGUCUACAUGUAGUGGAUAAUAAGUGAUAGACCCAAGCUUUGUCUCAUUAUUAUUUACAUAGGGUAUUGAAGUGCAGCUGAUUCUUUGUAAUAGGAUGCUGAAUCAACUUCAUAAUUUGAUUUUAAAGGAGCAAGGACUCUUAUGGGUCCUAGUGAUCCCCACUCUAAGCUCAUAUACCAUGAUGACAUGAUUUAUGAGAGUUGGAUUGAUUAUAGGUUCACUCUUAUGUAUAAGUGACCUGAGCUUAUAUGGUUUAACUCACUUAAGUUUAGUAGGGAAACCAUAUAAAUAUCCCCUUAGGGGUUAAGGUUUCAUAAUCACUUUUCAAAAAGUCAUCUUUCAUUUUUAGAGAAAGAAAGAGAGGUACGAGACCUUCAAAGUUUUCAAAGUUUUCAGAAAGUCUCAUGAUAAAGAGUUUAUUUUAAUAAAGGUUACCAAAAUUGAGAUAGAACCUAGGAUGGCGUUGUAAUGAUGGGAGUGUAAACUGAGUAAAACCUAGCAUGGUGUCACAAUGACAAGCGUCCAAAGAAACUAAGGAUAAACUAAGAUAAAAACUAGGAUGAUGUUGAAAUGACAAGAGUCCAAAGUAGCUAAGAAUAAGCUAGCUUAGAUAGAUCUUAGGAUAACGUUGUAAUGAUGAGAAUUCAAAGGAACUAAGGAUAAACUGAGAUAAAACCGAGGAUGACAUCGUAAUCAUGGGAGUCCAAAGGAGCUAAGCAUACACUUAGAUAGAACCUAGGAUGGCAUUGCAAUGAUGAGUUCAAAGGAACUAUGGAUAAACUGAGAUAGAACCUAUGAUGAUCUCGCAAUGAUGAGAAUCCAAGGGAACCAAGGAAAAAUCGAGAUAGAUCAACCUAGGAUGAUGUCACAAUGAUAGGAGUCCAAAUGAAUUGAGAUAGAGUCUAGGAUGACGUGGAAAUGAUGGGAGUCCAAAGGAGCUAAGAAUAAACUUAGAUAGAACUAGGAUGAAGUCAUAAUGAUGGGCAUCCAAAGGAACGAACCAUAAAUUGAGAUAAAGCCUAGGAUGACAUCAUAAAUAGAACAUAAAAUGGUGUCACAAUGAGAGGAAUACAAAGGAAAUAAGGAUAAAUUGAGAUAAAACCUAAGAUAACAUCAUAAUAAUAAGAGUCUAAAGGAACUAAGCAUAAAUAAAGAUAGAACAUAGGAUGGUGUCACAAUGAUGGGAAUCCAAAGGAGCUAAGUAAAAACUUAGAUAGAACUUAGGAUGACGUUGCAAUGACAAGAAUCCAAAGGAACUAAGGAUAAACUAAGAAAGAACCUAGGAUUGUGUCACAAUGACAAGAGUCCAAAGGAGCUAAGAAUAAAAUUAGGUAGAACCUACGUAAUGACGAGAGUGAAAAGGAAUUAAGGAUAAACUAAUAUAGAACCUAGGAUCGUGUCGCAACGACAAGAAUCCAAGGGAACCAAGGAUAAACUGACAUAGAAUCUAGAAUGGUAUCGUAAUGAAGAAGGCCAAAGGAACUAAGGAGAAAUUGAGAUAGAACUUAGAAUGACAUCACAAUGAUUGGAAUCUAAGGAAACUAAAGAUAAAUAGGGAUUGAAUAUAUUUUAACAUUGUUAAAGCAUUUUACUGUCAUUUUUAAACAUAAUUAUGAAAAAAAAACUUUUUUAAAAAAAAGUUCAUUAAAAGAAAAAUGUUAAUUUCACUAACAUUUAUCUAAUUAUUGAUGUCAAAAAUCAUAUGAAUAUAUGAGAUAAAUGAUAAAUAAAAAAAAGAGUAAUAAUAGUAAAUGUAAUUACUGGUAUUACUCAAAUUUAUGAUUAAAAGUUUUGCGGAUUAUAAAAUUUUUACAACUUUUUUAAAACAUUUAUUUAGUAAAUCUAAGAGUAAAUUUAUUGGAAGCUCUAAAAUUCAAUUCACUAUUUUGUCAAAAAUCUAGGUCUAAUUUACAGUCACAAAAUUAUCCUAAAGUCUCACCUGCAGCCAUAGCCCUACCACAGGUAAGCUUUUUUUUUUUAUAAAAAAAAAAAAAUUAACUCCUCCUCAUUCCAAAUAAAAUAAAUCUUUAAUGAUAUUCACAGGCCCCUCAAGGGUACAGCAGGAGCCGGCAUGAACCAAAUUCCACGUCCACCUUAUUCUUCUAAUCCAAGCCAACCAAUCAAGUCCAGCCAUGUUAUCCACCCACCAAGCUUCACACUUGGCAACUCUUACAUGGGCCCACUUCUCAAGCGUGUCUAUCAUCUGUACCUUACACGUUAUCUUUGCUGAGAUGGCAGACGACGUGAUCUUCGCAUAUUAUAAUAAUGGCGGAUUGUGGAUGGCGGCGGAGACUUGUUCAAUGAUCUCAUGCUGAUUUUGAAUGCUCUUUUUGGUGGAGGGUGAAAGUAACAAAUUCAGCACCAGCCGCCAGCUGCAAGCCCGAUCGUCCAUUUCGUCUUUUAAGGAAAUUAAUUCAUCAACUUUAAGAAUUUUUGUGUAGAUUUUAAACUCAUGAGAAGGACACAUUUCUGUAAUUACAGCAAUGUCUUUAGCGGAAGUUUAGAUAAAAUUAUGUUUGUAGUCUUAAUUAUAAAGCAAAAUUGAUUUUUUUUUAAAUCAAGAAGUUGUCGGAUUUUUGUAUUCUGAAAUUUGUUUGUUUAUUUGUUUUAUUUUUUAAAAAAAAUUAUCGGAUUUUCGUAUAAUGAGUAUAGAAUUAGUCUUGCAUAUGUCUCAGUCUAAUAGGACUUAUGAAAAGUAAUAUUUUUCUUACAGCAUUUUUAGGUAAGGGUGAUAGUGCAGCUGUAGACGUCACCCAUGUUGUGGUGGUGGCCAUUUUACAUAUAUGAACUGUAGAGUACCCCACCUGAAUUCCACUCAUUUUACAUAUUUUUCAAAUCAGCAGCAUAUGUUGAAAAUUUUUUUGUAUGCUUAACAAAAACUCAUAUAUAUUCUUCCUUCAUUUUGAUAACAUACACAAGAAUAAACAAUGAUUUUAACUUGAGGUCUUUGAGGAGGUCCUCCAACAAUCGUAAAAUAACAAUUCAAUAUCUUUACUACCUUUUAUUUGAUUAAUAAAACAUGACUCAUGAAUAACUUUUCCCAUCAUUUCACCUAGUUUGAAUCUGUACCAACGCUAUGGAUCACAACGGUCUCAAUGGUUAGGCCUGGCCCAAAGCCAAACAAGACACCCCAAUCCAAUCCUUCACCUGUCGUCAUUUUGCCUUCCUUGAGCGAUUUCUUUCUCAUCUCGUCCAAAAUAAAUAGGACACAUGCACUUGACAUGUUCCCAUAUUCACUUAGAAUAUGCCUUGUUGCUUUGAGUUUUUGUUUAUCUAAACCGAGUUUUGCUUCAACUGCGUCAAGAAUAGCUGGGCCACCUGGAUGAGCAAUCCAAAAUAAGGAAUUCCAAUCACUAAUACCAAUUGGGUCAAAAGCCUUAGUCAAACAAUUCUCAAUGUUUUCAGAUAUCAAGGUAGGCACAUUAGGCCACAAAUGAAAGGUGAGACCCACUUCACGUAAGUUGCCUGCAAUAGCACCUGCUGAAUUAGGAAUAAAUGUUUGGGCUGCUGAAACAAGUUGAAAGAGUGGCCGUUCAAUCGAGGUAUCUGGAUCUGAUCCAAUGAUUACAGCUGCAGACCCAUCACCGAAAAGGGCUUGGCCAACCAAAGAGUCCAAAGCAUCUUCGGAAGGACCACGAAAUGUAACAACAGUGAUCUCAGAGCACACCACAAGAACUCGUGCUCCUGCAUUAUUCUCUGCAAGAUCUUUAGCGGUUCGAAGGACAGUUCCACCUGCAUAACACCCUUGAUGGUACAACAUCACUCUUCUAACAGAUGGUUCGAGGCCUAAAAGAUUAGCGAGUUUAUAAUCUACACCAGGCAUUUCUACACCUGAGGUGGUACAAAAUACAAGGUGGGUGAUCUUCGAUUUAGGUUGACCCCACUCUUUAAGAGCCUUCAAUGCUGCUUCCUUACCAAGCUUGGGUACCUCAGUAGUGAUAAUCUCUUGGCGUAUGUUAAGAGAUGGAGCCAUAUAAGCACCAAUGUUUGGGUGCUCCUCAAGCAUUUCUUCGGUCAAAUGAAUGUAACGCUUCUUGAUCAUGGAUUUGUCACCUGUAUAUAAAUUAAAUAACAGUAAUAUGUAAGCUCAAGGCACACUAGUGAAACAAAAUCAAUUCAAUGGGUAGAUUGAUUGUUCAAGAUGAUCAAACAUUGUUCAAGUGAAUGUAAAAAGAUUCAUCCUAAUACAAUAUAAAAGCUUAUUUUUUAUUACAUCAAUUAAUAACGUGAUCCCAAGCGUUAUACCAUGUGAUUCAAAGAGCACCUGCUCAUACCAUCACUCACAGAUGCAUUGUAUUAAUUUAAAAUGAGUACACAGAAAGCUUGAAAAAGAUGUUUCAGUGGUCGUAGGUGAAUCAUAUGUAUACACAAUUAUAUGUAUAUGAAGGAUGUUAAAAUUAUACUUACAAAUGCGGUUGAACUUCUUCUUGAGCUCGGUCAUGUGCUCGCUUUUAGUGACCCGAAAAUAGUAAUCAGCGAAAUCAGACUGGUACAGACAGUUGUCCGGGGUAGCUGUGCCAAUGGCUAGAACGGUGGCCGGACCCUUGGCACGCUGGGCAUUUCUAAUUUCCUCCACAGACGCCAUGGAUAGUGUGUGAUGACUACUGAAAUGGAAGCUUCAAAGUUGAAGAAGGGAAGAGAAAUGAAAUUUUAGGAGCACAAGUGCUUGGAGCUGUCUGGCCAAAGUUGUGUCUUGAGGUUGGUAUUUAUAAUCACCACAAAUGCUGUCUCACCAACUCUCAUCCACUUCCAUGUAGGUAGGCGUGCAUUUGAAUAAUCCAGUGCCAUGGGGUUUGAUUUCCAACUUGGUAGGCUUCGGUUUUCAUUCUUUAUUUUAUUUUUCUGUCUUUCUUCUUCCUCUAAAACUCUUUUGGUCUUUUUAACCCACGUAAGGCGGUUGGAAGCUUACCCUUUUUGACUCCAAGUUGGUAGCAUCACUUUCAUAUCCCCCGAGUACUAUUUGACAAAAGACCCAAAAUUUUCACGUGCUGGGCCAGCUGCUGCCGGCUGGACCAAGCAUAAAUAUAGAUGUUGAACAAAUAAAUUUAUUGUUUAACAACAAUGAAGGUAAAAAUUAGUUACUAUUAACGAACAUAAAUAUUCGUUAAUUAAUGAGGAUAUCUGUUAUCAAAAUUAUUUUUAAAAGUUUUUAUAUUUGAUAUUAUUUAGUUUUUAAAAAAAAAAAAAAAAAUUCCUUAAUUUUGAAGGCAGAAGCUCACCCAUUUUGACUCCAAGCUGGUAGGGUCAUUUUCAUAUUCCCAAGUACAAUAAUAUUUGACCAUUGAGCUGGAAUUCUUUACUUGAUCUUCCACAUCAUGUUGGACCAAGCUAAUUAUCGGUAUUAAUACAGAAAUUUAGGAAAUAUGUAAUCUGGCAGAUUAUACAUUCAAGUCCUAAAUUAAUAUAUACCUUUUUGUCAAAGUUAUUUACAUCAGAACUUCUUCGAAAAAAGUUGAUAUCGAAUAUCACUUGAGAGAGAAAUAUGAUUGAUAAAAAAUAACACUUUCUAACUAACCUUCUAAAUUUUGAAUGAAAGUUGUUUUAGUGUAUUGGAAUUUGUUUAAAAAAAUAAAUAUUUAAUAUAUAUAUAUAUAUAUAUAUAUAUAAUCAAUGAACUCAAUAAACUUUUUGGUUUGACUUUCCAAUUUUUUCAACAAAAUGACAUAUUUUUUCAACAAAACGACAAAUAUAAGAAAAUCAAGAAUAAAAACGCAAGCAAGGAGGAAUAAUUUACGAAGUAUCUAAAAUUCAAUCCUCUAUCUAUUAUAGAGAAAACAAAGAGCGGAAAAGUAAUCCAAAAUGUAUCAAAGAUACUCCCUCUUUCUUUCCAUUAAAAGUGUAGUAACCAAUGUCUCAUAUGAUUUUGGUAGGGAUGCCAAUAAAAUAGUAGUUUCAUCUUCCUCAUCAAUGUUGACCUUUACGCUCAAUAAAUAGGUUAUACACUUAUUAAAUUUAUUUAUAUGAACAUCAAUUCCUUCAUUUAUCUUCAAACUCAUAUAAUUGUUAACUACAAAAAAAUUGAGUUUUGCCAACCCACUUAAGUUUACUUUUGUAAUGGAUUUAAGUUGUCAUAAAUUUCUAAGACACCUACUCAAUCCAUUGCAAAUUGCAUUACUCAUCGCAUAUAUAUGUAAUUUUUUUAUCAACAGUAAUUGCAAGUUGUUGAGUUAAAGACUGAUUAUGUAAGGACCUGUAUGGGAAAUGAUUGUGAUAUUUCAUAUUAGAUAGGAGAAAAAGUUUUCAGUAUUAUAUAUGUAUGAGUUCCUUUUAAUUUUGUGAAUACCUUUUAAAACUUGAGGCAUUUUAGGCUCAGAGUGAGCAAUAUCUUUAUUAUUAGGAACAUGUUGUUACAUAUUACUUGAAUUUUACAUUAAUCAUAAGGUUAUUUAAUAAUGUUAAAUUAAAAUUUAACUUUAAUAACUUCAAUAAAAAAUAAUUAAUUUUAUGACUUGAAUAUAUAAUCAACCUCAUCAUAGAUAUCAUAAAAUUCUGUAUUAAUAUCGAAUGGUUUGCUUGGCCCAGCACGUGAAAGACACUGGGUCUUUGACCUUGUAAGUCAAGAAUCCCAACUCAAUGGUCAAACAUUAUGGUACAUGGGGGGAUAUGAAAGUGGUCCUACCAGUGUGGAGAUAAAAAGGGUAAGCUUCUGGCUACAAGAUGUUUUUAUUUUUAUUUGUUUAUUUAUUUUAACAAAUAUAGCAAAUUUUAAAAAUAAUUUUCUAUUUUUAUGGAUAUUCUGCCGGUGGUGGUAGUUACCCAGGUUGCUGAGGUUGCUUCAAAUUACUCACAACUUUUAUCGCUCUUAUUUUCAAACAUAUAUAGAGAAAGCCAAAUAAACGUAAUCCAAUUGAAUACUUUCUCAGUUCCUACUUCCAGCGGAGGCAUAUAAGAACAACAGGUAUAGGGGAAGAAGAAAGACAAAAGCAAAAAUAAAUUAAUGAAUGAAAACGGCAGCCUACCAACUUGGACAUCAGAUCAUAUUUCACUGGAUUAUUCAAAUGCACAUCUACCCACAUACAAGUCCCCAUUCAUAUAUCAUCAAAUAUAAGCAAAGGAGAAACCAAUUCAAUGACAACUAGAGCUAUAAAAUCCAAUAUUUCUUUUAUUUACUUUUCAAUAAUGUUCAUAUGAACACAACAUUACAAUGUUUGAGGAAUCUUCAAGAUAAUAAAACAGUCUGAACUUGAAACUCAACCGUUUAAUUUGAGCUCACCAAGAGGGUCUAACAAUCACUAGAUUACAAUCUAAAUUUAGAGAAAAUAAUAAAAUAGUAUAAGAGUAUAAUUAGUUUAGGAGAUAAAUAACUUACUCCUAGUUGACAUAAUAGGACAUUGAAGGACCAUUCUCUUUUCCUUCACUUAAUUUGUAACCAUAGGAAUGCUAUGCAACACAACAGUUUCAAUAGUCAAGCCUGGUCCAAAACCGAAUAAUACUCCCCAAUCCAAUCCUUCACCUGUGGUGGCCUUCUCCCCCUUAUGGGAUUUCUUUCUCAUCUCAUCCAAAAUAAACAACACACAUGCACUUGACAUGUUUCCAUACUCACUUAGCACAUGCCUCGUUGCUUCAAGUUUCUUUUUAUCUAAAUUGAGUUUUGCUUCAACUGCAUCAAGAAUUGCAGGGCCACCUGGGUGAGCAAUCCAAAAUAACGAGUUCCAAUCGCUAAUACCAAGUGGGUCAAAAGCCUGAGUCAAACAUUUCUCUACGUUCUCAGAAAUUAAAGUGGGCACAUUGGGCCACAAAUGAAAGGUGAGUCCCACCUCACGUAAGUUUCCUGCAAUUGCACCUGCAGAAUUAGGAAUAAAUGUUUGGGCUGCUGAGACAAGCUGGAAGAGUGGUCGUUCAAUUGAGACAUCUGGAUCUGAUCCUACAAUUACAGCUGCAGACCCAUCACCAAAAAGGGCUUGGCCAACUAAAGAGUCCAAAGCAUCUUCGGAAGGGCCACGAAAUGUAACAACUGUGAUCUCAGAGCACACCACAAGAACUCUUGCUCCUGCAUUAUUCUCUGCAAGAUCCUUAGCUGUUCUAAGGACAGUUCCACCUGCAUAGCACCCUUGAUGGUACAACAUCACUCUUCUAACCGAUGUUUCGAGGCCUAAGAGAUUAGCGAGUUUAUAAUCUGCACCAGGCAUUUCUACACCCGAGGUGGUACAAAAUACAAGAUGGGUGAUCUUUGAUUUGGGUUGACCCCACUCCUUAAGAGCCUUCAAUGCUGCUUCCUUCCCAAGUUUGGGUACCUCAACAGUGAUAAUCUCUUGGCGUAUGUUAAGAGAUGGAGCCAUAUAAGCCCCAAUGUUUGGGUGCUCCUCAAGCAUUUCUUCCGUCAAAUGAAUAUAACGCUUCUUGAUCAUUGAUUUGUCACCUGUAAAUGAAAUAACAUGAACACAUUAGUUUUACCAAUCAACAAGUGAUAUAGAAUAUUGUUUAAGAUGAUCGACUUGCAUUUAACAGUGAAGCAAGUAUAAAAGGUUAUUCUUAAUUAUAGCUAGCAAUGCGAUAUAAUUAAUCAAAGAACAGCUCUUCAAGCCAUUACAGUCAGAUGAAAUGAAUAUUAAUUACUGAAGUAAAAUAAUUUUCAAGUUUUCUGUAGUAUUUUAUCUAAAAGCUAUAUUCUAGAAAGAUUGCAACAUUCAUUCCCUUGGAGGUGAGCCUCACCUAGUGUCAGUCACAUAUAUACAGAACUGUUAUGCAUGUAAGAAAUUAAUGCAUGAAUAUACUUACAUAUGCGAUUGAACUUCUUCUUCAACUCAGUCAUGUGCUCGCUCUUAGUGACCCUGAAAUAGUAAUCAGCAUAAUCAGACUGGUAGACACAGUGGUCGGGGGUAGCUGUGCCAAUGGCUAGGAUGGUGGCCGGACCCUUGGCACGUUGAGCAUUUCUGAUUUCCUCGACUGAAGCCAUUGAUGCCAGCUACGUACUCAAAUUGAAACUUGAGAUUAAGUUGAGGAAGGAAAGAGGAGUGCUUGGAGUCGGCUUGAGAAAGCUGGGUGCGAGUGUUGGGCUUUUAUAACCCGUGUCUCACCAACUCUCAUCCAUUGGCAGUCAAUGAUCAGUUGGCUUCAAAGUUGGUGUGCGUGAGUUUAUUUUUGGAUUCUCAGACACGUAUGCAUGUGUUAAUGCAUUUGUGUUGUUUUAUGUUCUUCACCUACCCAUAUAUGACGAGAGAGCAUUCAAUCGGGUUACGGCUUCUCAUUAUAACAUUUCUUUAUAUAUAGAGAUAAGGACUUGUCCAGCCUCUAACUGGAAAUCAAUCCCUUGUUCAUUUGACUUUUCCACUUGUGGGUGGCUGCUACCAACUUUCUUAUUGUUGAUGAUAUCAAAUUCAUUCAAAGUUGGAUUUCUAAAUUUGAAGUUAUAAUCUCAACAACUAAGAGACUAUUUUUCUUGUUCAGUAUUACAUCACAUGUCAUUUAACUUAUUCGAAAGGUAAUUCAACAAAUAUCUCAUUUUUAUUUUUUAAAUUGCUGGGCAUUCAACAAAGGUAAGACACUAUUUCGUGAUAUAAGUUGCUGGGCAUUCGUUUGAUUUUUUAAAUUCAUUUCAAGUUCAAAGAUUCCCUUUUUUAUUUUAAUUUUUUUUAACAUAAAUUUGAUUAAAAAUAUAUUCAUAUAUAGCAUUUUAGCAAUACUUCAUAGCAUUCCUAAUUAUAUUAAAGCAAUUUAAAGUAAAAUUCAUUCAAGGAAAACAAUAUAGCUAUUGAAAAUUAGACAAGUCCGUAAAACAUAUUUAAAUGUUAUAUGCAUUACUUCCCAAUAUAGCUAAGUGAUUAAUUGGAAGUAAUUUUGUUUUGAUCGCCACAUUCAAUCGUCACUUAGUCAUAUCAACUUAUGUACCAAUGAAGUCCUUAUAACCCAAUAAUAGAAAUUUGUUCUUCUUUAUUACUCUCUCUAUCUCUCUUUAAUUGGAGAAAUAGUGAUGUACCUCAUCUUAAAGCCGACUUAAUUUUAAAAAAGAGCACAGUAAUUAGUAAAAUUUUAUUAGUCCUAUAGACUAACCCUAAACAUUAAGUACCCUAAUGUUAAUUAAACUUAGAAAGGUAAUUUAUCCCAAUCCAAACUCAACAAGUAUUGAUCACUUUUGUAUAAAUAAAAAAUUGAAAAUCAGGGUCAAAAUUACCAACACAUAAGACCCAUUCUAUUGAUCACAAUUUUUUAUUUUUUAUUUUUUUAAAAAGAUCUUGAUUAAUGGAAAACUCAUAAUUUUAAAAAAUUUCCAAUAGGUGUUACAUGACCAAAAAAUUAUAGACUAAAAUAACUUUCAUUCCAAAUUUAAAAAUUUGGAAUCAUGAGCUUGGCCCAGCACGUGAAAGACAUUGGGUUUUUGUCAUUGCAAGUCAAGAAACCGAACUCAGUGGUCAACCAUUAUGGUACUUGGGGGAUAUGAAAGUGAUCCUAGCUACCAGCAUGGAGUCAAAAAGUGUGAGCUUCUGGCUUCAACAUGUUUCACCUACUUUGGUCCAAAAGGGCAAGCAUUCAACACCAUGCAAGUGGAUGAGAGUUGGUGGGACACAGCAUUUGUGGGUGAUUAUAAAUACCAACCUCAAGACACAACUUUGGCCAGCCACCUCUAAGCACCUGUGCUCCAAAGGUUUCACUUCUCUUUCCUUCUUCAACUUUUGAGUAGUCAUCACACCAUCAAUGGCGUCUGUGGACGAAAUUAGAAAUGCUCAGCGUGCCAAGGGUCCGGCCACCGUUCUAGCCAUUGGCACAGCUACACCGGACAACUGUCUGUAUCAGUCUGAUUUCGCUGAUUACUAUUUUCGGGUCACUAAGAGCGAGCACAUGACCGAGCUUAAGAAGAAGUUCAACCGCAUUUGUAAGUAUAAUUUUAACGUCCAUAACAUGCAUACAGUGAUGUAUACAUAUGAUAAUGCUUUUAUAUGGUACUCAGAUGAAUCUUUUUACACUCACUUUAACAAUGUUGAUCAUCUUGAACAACGAAUCUACAUAUUACUGAAUUAGUUUUGUUUUAAUUGCUAGUGUGCCUUGAGCUCAUAAAUUAGUAUCAUUCAAUUUAUACACAGGUGACAAAUCAAUGAUCAAGAAGCGUUAUAUUCAUUUGACGGAAGAAAUGCUUGAGGAGCACCCAAACAUUGGUGCUUAUAUGGCUCCAUCUCUUAACAUACGCCAAGAGAUUAUCACUACUGAGGUACCCAAGCUUGGUAAGGAAGCAGCAUUGAAGGCUCUAAAAGAGUGGGGUCAACCUAUAUCGAAGAUCACCCACCUUGUAUUUUGUACCACCUCGGGUGUAGAAAUGCCUGGUGCAGAUUAUAAACUUGCUAAUCUUUUAGGCCUCGAACCAUCCGUCAGAAGAGUGAUGUUGUACCAUCAAGGGUGCUAUGCAGGUGGAACUGUCCUUAGAACCGCUAAGGAUCUUGCGGAGAAUAAUGCAGGAGCACGAGUUCUUGUGGUAUGCUCUGAGAUCACUGUUGUUACAUUCCGUGGGCCUUCUGAAUCCGCUUUGGACUCUUUAGUUGGCCAAGCCCUUUUUGGUGAUGGGUCUGCAGCUAUGAUCAUUGGAUCAGAUCCAGAUAUCUCAAUUGAACGACCACUCUUUCAACUUGUCUCAGCUGCCCAAACAUUCAUCCCCAAUACCCAAGGUGCUAUUGCAGGCAACUUACGUGAAGUGGGUCUCACUUUUCAUUUAUGGCCUAAUGUGCCUACUUUAAUUUCUGAGAACAUAGAGAAAUGUUUGACUCAAGCUUUUGACCCACUUGGUAUUAGUGAUUGGAACUCGUUAUUUUGGAUUGCUCACCCAGGUGGCCCUGCAAUUCUUGACGCGGUUGAAGCAAAACUCAGUUUAGAUAAGCAAAAACUCAAUGCAACAAGGCAUAUUCUAAGUGAAUAUGGAAACAUGUCAAGUGCAUGUGUGUUGUUUAUCUUGGAUGAGAUGAGAAAGAAAUCGCUUAAGGAAGGAAAAACAACUACAGGCGAAGGAUUGGAUUGGGGUGUUUUGUUUGGCUUUGGACCAGGCCUAACCAUCGAGACUGUUGUGCUGCAUAGCAUUUGUAUGGAUUCAAACUAAGUCAAACAACAGAAAAAAUAAUUUGUGAGCCAUAGAAGAGAUGGUUUUAACUUCCUCAUAUACUUCAAGUUAAAACCAUGAGAGUCCAAGUUCCCACCAUUGUAGUACGCCGACCAUUCCUCAAAGUUUGUAGUCAUUGUUUAUUCUUAUGUAUGUUAUCAAAAUGUAAUAAAAAGAAGGAAUGGAUUUGAGCUUUGCUUAUGCAUGUAAUUAAGUACGAAAUUUUCAACAUAUGAAUUUUCCCAUACUGAUGUAGUUUGAGUUCUACUUGAACACCAACGUGUCUAAUUUUUUUUUAGAAAAUUAAGAUUAAAAGGAUGAACACUAACCUAAAAUUUGAAGAAUCCACCUUUCAUGACUCCUAUUAGACUAAAACAUAUACAAGACUAUUUCUAUAUUGAUAAAACUUUCUAUUAUUAUAAAUUUUUUUAUCAUAUUAUCAUAUUUGAAAAUGAGUUAUUCUUUCAUAAAACUAUCCUAUUAUUCUAUUAGCCUAAAGUUUUUUCAUAACAUAAAUUAAGUUAUAAACUGAGUUGUUCUUUCAUAACCAAUCUAACAAGUCAUUUGGAAAUAGUUUUAUUUUUUAUUUUAUUUAAAAAAGAAAUAAUGUUUUUAAACAUUUUAAAUAAAUUAAUAUGUUUAUUUGUGUAUUCUUAUCCUUUUCAUAUCCUCAAAAUAAUUUUUGAAAUAAAAAGUUGAUUAACAUAAUUGUUUUCCAAGAAUUAAAAAAAAAAUCUUUAUAAUAAGAAUAAAAACAUGAUUUCAUGUCAACUUAACUUUGAAAAAUCGUCUAUUAACAUAAUUGUUUUCCAAGAAUUCGGAAUUCAAGUUGAGUCUAGCUUCCUUAUUAAUUAAUCCUACAAAAUAUUUAAACAAUAAAAAAUGCUUUGGUCAACAAAAAAAAUAAAAAUAUGGGUCAAAUGAAACUUUAAUUAUUCAUCAUAUUGAGACCAACCAGUAUGAGAGAUUUAUCCCUUUUCUUGGCGACUUCGGACGAAGCAAACAUGUACCGAAUUUAGAAAAAAAUAAUGCCGCAAUUAUAGAAUGUUGUGUUAUUGUUGACUUCUCCUUCUCAUUAGUUUAAAAUAUAAUCUAAAAAUGACGAUCUGCUUGCUUGCAGUUGCAGGCCGAGGCUGAAUUCAUAUAAUCACCCCCUCCAUUGGAACCAAAAAGCAAAUUCAAAAGCCAUGGUCUCAUAAACUUCCACACACUUCUUUAGGAAGCCAGCUUCCUGCAGUAGUCCGCAUAAAAUUAUACCUCUCUUUUCUUUAUUGGGCUAUGUUUUGUCCAGCCCAUGAGCCCAUAUAUUAGACUAUUUUAUAUUUCGGUAUUCCUUAAACCCAAAUUUAGAUAUAUAAAUACCAUUAGAUCUUUGAUAUUACGAGUGAGAAUGGAGAUUUGAUUGAGAAAAGAAAAGAAAAUUAGGGUUGUUUUUUCGACACUGUUAUGGGGCUCAAGGUGAAGUUACAGGUUCUUUCAUUAACCUUUUGGAAAGUUCCUAUGGUAUGUUUUCUUCCUAAUUUUUUUUUUCAUGUUUCCUAGGGUGAUGGAUUCCCACCUCAAGCAUUGAGAUAUUUAUAUAAGCUUUCAAGGUGAAGAAACCUAAGAACUUAAUUAUUGUAUCCCUAUUUAUUGAAGUGGAAGAUAUUUUCUCCGUGGUUUUUUACCUCAAUUUGGAGGGGUUUUCCAUGUUGUAUUUGAUGUCCUCUUUUUGGUUGAAUAUUCUUGAUUAUCAUUUUUUAUUCUUGUUAGGUUGUUAUUAUUGUUGAGGGGUGGUUAUUAUUGUUGAGUGGUGGUUAUUAUUGUGGAAGAAUCUUUUAACCUUGAUAGGUGAAUACUCUAGAUCUCUUCUUUUAUCUUCCCAACAAGUGGUAUCAGAGCCUAGUUGUGGGAACGUUUAUUUUUGAAAAUUAUGGAGAUAGAAGGGAACUGAACCUACAUGAUAAAACUUAACAAUUCAAAUAGGGCUAUGUGGAAGUCCAUGAUGGAAUAUUUUCUCACCAUCAAAGAUUUGUUAGAUACUGUUAAGGGUGAAACAUCAAGACACAAAGAUAUUUCUGAUUUGGAAUGGAAAAAAAUGAAUAAAAAGGCAAUUACCUAUAUUAGGUAAUGGAUUGACACAUCCUCACGCAACCAUGUGGAAAAGGAAACAAAUGCCUAUAAUCUCUGGAAGAAAUUGAAAUUAGUGAACAUGAAGUUAAAGGAAGUAACAUUAAUGACAAGUCACUUGAAUUCUUUUCAGAGUAUUGUUAAUUAAUUGGUUGCUAUGAAAAUGGUUAUGGAUGAUGAGAUGCAAGCAUCUUUGUUGUUGUAUUCAUUUCUAGAUAGUUGGGAAACUUUUGUUGUGACUAUUAGCAACUCUGUUCCGAAUGGUGCAUUGUCUAUAGAGCUUGUGAAAGGAAAUUUGUUCAAUAAAGAGACAAGAAGGAAGGCUUAUGACAUAGAAAAGGCACAGGCCCUCGUCACAGGAAGUAGAGGAAGAAACAAGAAUAAAUGACAGAAAGGUCAUGACAAGUUUGAGGGAAGGUCCCAAUCCAGAGAUAAAAUCAAAUGUUUUCAUUGUGGAAAAGAGGGGCAUAUGAAAAGGAAUUGUCAAAUUUGGAAAAGGAAACAAAAUGAACAGAAUCAGGAAAAAGAUGACAAGAAUACCACAACCCCUAUAUCAAACAAUGAUGAAGUUUUAGUGCUCUCAAAUGAGUGUUUGCAUGUAGAUGAGAAAGGAGUUGAGUAGAUUGUAGACACUAUAGCCUUCUACCAUACUACUCCUCACUUGGAGUUGUUUUUUGAUUGUAGAGUUGAAGAGUUUGGCACAAUCAAGAUGGGAAACUCUAGUCACUCCAAGAUUGUAGGAAUGGGUGAUGUUUGCUUUGAAACCAAUAUGGGGCAUAAGUUGACAUUGAAAGAUGUAAGUCAUGUUCCAGAUUUACGCUUUAAUCUAAUGUCAAGUUUUGUCUUGGAAAAUCAAGGUUAUGAAAAUCACUUUGGCAAAGGCAAAUGGAAGCUCACUAAGGGCCCUUGGUUGUUGCAAAAAGAGAAACAUGUUGCACUUUGUACAAAACCUAAGGAAAAGUUUGUAAUGAUGAGUUAUAUGCUCUAGAGGCUACUUCCUUGAAGUUGUGGCAUAAAAGGUUCAUAUGAGUGAGAAAGGAUUGCAAGUUUUGGCAAGGAAGUUCUUAAUUCCUUUGGCCAAAAAAUGAAUCCUUGUCUUCUUGUGAUCAUUGUUUGGUUAGAAAACAACAUAGUGUUUCCUUUAGUAGCAUAUCUAAAAAGAAUUUAAAGAAGUUGGAGUUGGUAUACUCUGAUGUUAGUGGCCCCAUGGAAAUGGAAACUCUUAGAGGAAACAAACACUGUCAUUUUUAUUGAUGAUGCUACCAGGAAGGUAUGAAUUUAUUUGCUCAUAUCAAAUGAUUAAGUCUUUCAGUAUUUUCUAUAGUUUCAAGCCAUGGUUGAAAAAGCGACUAGAAGGAAAUUGAAGUGUAUCAGGAUUGAUAAUAGAAGUGAGUACACCUCAAGGGAGUUUGAAACUUACUGCACUAAGAAUGGUAUAAGUCAUGAAAAAACAAUUCCUCGCACUCCAUAGCAUAAUGGUGUGGCUGAAAGAAUGAAUCGCACCAUCAUUGAGAGGGUUAAGUGUAUGCUAAAGAUUAUAAAGUUGUCUAAGGCAUUUUGGGGUGAAGCUGCUCAAACUGCCUACUAUUUGAUAAAUAGAUCUCCAUCAAGUCCAUUGAACUUUGAGGUUCUAGAGAAGGCAUGGACAAGAAAAGAGGUUUUCUAUUCCCACUUAAGGGUCUCUCUGAAUGUAAAACUUUUGUGCAUGUUCCCAAAGAACAGAUAUCCAAACUUGAUGAUAAGGCAGUUCCACAUGUCUUUGUUAGGUAUGGUGAUGAAGAGUUUAGAUUCAAAUUGUAGGAUCCAACCAAGAAGAAAUUGGUGAGAAGUAGAGAUGUGGUCUUUUAAGAGAAUUGAACGUUGGGAGAUUUUGACAAAGCUAAUCAAUCUAAAGGUACAAGUGACGACUUCAUUCAGUUGGUACCUAUUCCUCUAUUAUUAAAGCAACCCAAAAAUGAACAAAAAAAAAAAGGAAAUUGAUGAGCUACCAAGAGACGAUAGUACUAGUGACAUACAUGCAUAGGAGCUAGUUGAGCAUGAUGAGUAGGAGGAACAGUCACUUCAUCAGGAGGAUUUGGUAACCUAGGCUAGAAGGUCUACUAAAGAGCAUCAUCCCUCUACUAGAUGUCCCUCUUCUGAGUACAUGUUAGUAAUUGAUGAGGGGAAGCCACAGAGUUUUCAAGAAGCUAUGCAAGAUGAGAUGGAUUCCUUGCAGAAAAAUGAAAACUAUGAGUUGGUACAACUUCCUAAAGGAAGAAAAUCAUUGAAAAACAAAUGGGUGUUCAAGUAGUUGAGGGAUAUGGUUGAAGAAAAUGUAGCUAAGUUGAAGAAGGUUCACAUAAACAAAAAUGCCUCAAACAUGUUGACAAAGUUUGUUCCCAAGCAAAAUCUUCAAUUGUACAUUGGGAUAGUAGGUUUGAGCUCCAUGUGAUGGAGUUAUAGAUUGACAUUCCUCCUCCAUGUGGUGGAGAGGGAGAUUGUUAAGCUAUGUUUGUCCAACCCAUGAGCCCAUAUAAUAGGCUAUUUUAUAUUUGGGUAUUCCCUGAGACCAAAUAUAGGUAUAUAAAUAGCAUUAGGUCUUUGGUAUUAUGAGUGAGAAGGGAGAUUUGAUUGAGAAAAAAAAAAAUAGGAUUGUUUUCUGGGCACUAUUCUAGGGCUCAAGGUGAAGUCACAAGUUCUUUCAUCAACCUUUUAGGCAAGUCUCUGUGGUAUGUUUUCUCCUUGAUUUCUUUUUGUUUAUAUUUCCUGGGGUGAUGGAUUCCCGCCUCAAGUAUUGAGAUAUUUUUAUAAGUUUUCAAGGUGAAAAAACCUAAGGACUUAAUAUUGUAUCCUCAUUUAUUGAAGUGGAAGAAAUUUUUUCCAUGGUUUUUUACCUCAAUUUGGAGGGUUUUUCAUAUUAUAUUUGGUGUCCUCUUUUUGGUUGAAUGUUCUUGCUUAUCAUUCUUGAUUCUUGUUAGGUUGUUAUUAUCGUUGAGGGGUGGUUAUUAUUAUUGAGUGGUGGUUAUUAUUGUGGAGAAAUCUUUUAACCUUGGCAAGAGAAUAUUCUAGAUCUCUCCUUUUAUCUUCCCAACAUUCUUUUAUCACUUUUAAUCUUGAAAUAUCUUAGUAUGUAGUCAUCAACGGAUUUGUGGAGGAGAUUAGAAUGGAUCAAUGUGCCACAAUGGAUAACACUAAUUACUAUUUUGGGGUCCUUAAGAGCAAGCAUAUGACUAAAUUAAAAAUGUCUUGAGUAUCUCAUCUUGUAUUUCGUAGAAUCUUGAUGAUGAAAUGCCUCAAACUAUCUACUAGAAUAGUGAUGUUGUAUUGUAUCAUCAAUGUUCUCAUGGAGCUGAAAUUGUCCUUUCACAUGGCUAAAGAUCUUUUAAAGAAUAAUGUAAGAGCAGGAAUGUACACAUGAGGCUUUCUUGAAGAAAAACUAGUGGUCAUAUUGAAAAUUUAUUGAUUUAGAUAAUAUUUAGGUUAUGAUCUCUAGUUGGUUAUCUGAUUCUUUUGAUCAUAAGAAAUUAACUUGACUUGGGUCUUAACUCAGUUUGGACCUUAAUGUGUCUUAGCCUAGGCUUAGACUUUAUCAAGUCUUAGGUAUGAGUUUUGAUUUUGGUGUGUCUUCAACUUGGGUUUGGACCUUGGUGUGUCUUAGGCAAUGCUUAGACCUUGGUUUCAUUGACAUUCAUAAAAGGCAUAAAUGUUUUAUCUUGGAUUAAGUAUGCCUCGAAUUUGAUCGUUGAAGCUCCAAACUUGAUCUUUGAAUCUACAAACCAACAAUUAAGAGUUUCGAACUUGGUUUUAAAAUCUUUGAAUUAAGGCUUUGAUAAACUUGUUAAGUCUUGAAGGGAAGCUUUCUCUAAUUCUUCUCAAGUGUGGAAGUCUUCCUAUUUUUCCAAUGUGAUUUUGAAAACUAAGGACAUAUUUAUUAGGAUUAUGAGAGACAUAUUUGCAUAGUUUUCCUUAUUCCUUGUAAAUAUUAUUCCUUAAUUAAAAUUAAUAUUUAGGAUGAUUUCGAGGUAUACUUAGACAGUUUUGACCCUUAAAAAAAAAUAUUAUGUUUAAUUAAAAACUAAUAUUUAGGAAACUUGGUAUAUUUCAUGAUGUCCUAUUUUCGUAGAGUUCUUUGGGAAGACUAGCCAACAAGUCUCAUCAUCCCCUUCACCUCCUUUGCAGAUCCAUGAGGACACUCUUUGUCACUCUAGAGUUCUUUUGAUUUAAUGACCUUCCAACUUCUUGUUUCCAUAAGGAGUGCAGGGAGGUAUAUUACUCAUGAUUCCGUGAGCAUUGAGUUGAGGUUAAGUAUGAGCUCUCCUUACCUUCCUUCUGAGACACUAAGGUCCCACAUAUUUUUGAGAGCAUAAAUGGGAUUCUCAAAAUCUCUUGAUGGGGGGCUGGCUAUUGCAAUUAUGUUUGGAUGUUCUAUGCUAAUAACCAUUUUAGCUCAUUAGACAUUUCUUUUAGAGUUAACAUAUAUGGGAUAACUAUCUUGGUUUCUGCUCAUUUUAUUCCACGAGCAUUAAGUCUUCAACCUUUCUUAGAGACGUUUCCACACUUCACUCCAAAUGGAUGUUUGAUCCUAUGGUUAGUCAUGGGAUCUUUCUUAUGUUUCCAUGUUUAUCAUUGCUAGUAAGCAUGGAUCUUCACCAUGUUUUUCAGUUACAACUUUUACCCUUUUCCAGUAUGACCCACUUACAAUGCGCCACUACAAAUCAAUCAUUAUGUUAUUUUUAGUCAUCACAUUGAUGUGGCUCAUUUUAUUAUGGACAUAUGGUAUCAUAUCGAGGGUCAUCUUGCUCAUGGAGUUUACCACUGGUAAUCACCAUCAGAAAUAUUUUGGUUGACGUCAGGUUUGAUUUUUACCAUAAUCUCUGGGUGUUAGAUUAGAGACCUUCCACAGAUGAAAGACUCGAGUCUAAGGACAUGAACCAUUAGGAAACUAUCAUUUUUCGAUAGCAGUUGAAAUUGGGUUGGUUGGGGCAGCCAUUGGUUGGUGAGGACUAUGGACUGUUGACCCCCUCUAACUUGACUUUGAAAGAGCUUCCUUAAUUAAAUAAUUAAUUUAAUAUUUAAAACUAUUUAAUUUCUUUGAACUCUUUCUAUGAUCUCUGGAAAUAAUAUUUUAUUUAAUUUUUUAUAUGUUGUAGCUGAUCAUUUCAAAUCAGUUUCCAAGAAUAUAUAUAUCUCUUUUGAUAAUAUAUUUUGGUGUUUUAGAAAAAUGUUAUGGUGAUAUAUUUUGCUGCUUUAGAAAAAUGUGGUAUGAAAUGGUCCAAGCAACAAGGAUAAACUUUUUAACCGAGUCGUCGCUCUUUAGCGGGAGUUGGUUUGUCAUACAAAUAAUGUAUACUCAAGCCUUCAAAUAUCAGCAAACGAGAAAGCAAUUCAAUACCAACUAGAGCUAUCAAAUCCAAUAUUUCUUUUAUUUACUUUUCAAUAAUAUCCAUGUGAACACAACACUACAAUGUUUGAGGAAUUUUCAAGAUAAUGAACGAGUGAGAUAUUGAAACUCAUCUUUUAAAUUUGGGCUCACGAAGAUAGGCUAAUAAUGACUCGAUUAGAAUCAAAAUUUGGCAAAAGCAAUGAAAUUCUAUAAGAGUAUUUAUUAUCAAUAUCAGAGAUAAAUACCUUUAUUGACUUCUAUUUGAUACAAUACAACAUUAAAGGUACCAUUCUCAUUCACUUAAUUUGUAACAGUAGGAAUGCUAUGCAACACAACAGUUUCAAUAGUUAAGCCCGACCCAAAACCAAAUAAUACUUCCCAAUCUAAUCCUUCACCAGUGGUGCCCUUUUCCCCCUUUAGGGAUUUCUUUCUCAUCUCAUCCAAAAUAAACAACAUACAUGCACUAGACAUAUUACCGUACUCACUUAACACGUGCCUUGUUGCUUUAAGUUUCUUUUUCUCUAAAUUGAGUUUUGCUUCAACUGCAUCAAGAAUUGUAAGGCCACCAAGAUGGGCAAUCCAAAAUAACGAGUUCCAAUCGCUAAUACCAAGUGGGUCAAAAGUCUGAGUUAAGCAUUUUUCUAUGUUCUCAUAAAUCAAAGUAGGCACAUUAGGCCACAAAUGAAAGGUGAGUCCAAUCUCAUGUAAGUUACCCGCAAUAGCACCUUGUGAAUUAGGAUUUAAAUGUUUGAGCUGCUGAGAUGAGUUGGAAGAGUGGUCAUUCAAUUGAGAUGUCUGGAUCUGAUCUAAUAAUCACAGUUGCAGACCCAUUACUGAAAAGGGCUUAGGCAACUAAAGAGUCCGAAGCGGUUUCAAAAGGCCCAUGGAAUGUAAUAACAAUGAUCUCAGAGCCCACCACAAGAACUCGUGCCUCUGUGUUAUUCUCUACAAGAUCUUUAGCAGUUCAAAGAACAGUCCCACCUGCAUAGUAGCCUUGAUGUUACAACAUAACUCUUCUAACUGAAGUAUCAAGACCCAAGAGAUUAGCAAGUUUGUAAUCAGCACCAGGCAUUUCUACACCUGAGGUUGUACAAAAUACAAGGUGGGUGAUCUUGGACUUUGGCUGACCCCAAUCUUUAAGUGCCUUCAAUGCUACUUCCUUACCAAGCUUGGGUACCUCAACAAUGAUGAUCUCCUGCCGUAUAUUAAGAGAUGGGGCCAUGUAGACACCAAUAUUGGGUGCUCUUCAAGCAUUUUUUCAGUCAAAUGAAUGUAGUGCUUCUUGAUUAUUGAUUUUUCACCUGUAAAUAAAAUAACAUGAACACAUUAGCUUUACCAAUCAAUAAGUCAUAUAGUAUAUUGCUCAAGAUGAUCAACAUGCAUUUAACAUUGAAACAAGCAUAAAAGGUUAUUCUUAAUUAUAUCAAAAAUUAUUAAUGUGUUUCUCAACAUUGCCACAUGAUUCAAAGAACAGCUCUUCAAGCCAUUAUAGUCAGAUGCACGGAAUAUUGGUGACUGGAGUAAAAUGAUUUUCAAGUUUCCCGAAGUAUUUUAUCUAAAAGUUAAACUAUUAAAACUUGAAACAUUCAUUUCACUUGGAGGUGAGCCUCACAUAAUAGCACACUCGUAUAUGUAUAGAAGAGUUAUGCAUGUAAGAAUUCAUGCCUGAAUAUAUAUAUACUUACAUAUGCGAUUGAACUUCUUCUUCAACUCAGUCAAUUGCUCGCUCUUAGUGACCCUGAAAUAGUAAUCAGCAUAAUCAGACUGGUAGACACAGUUUUCAGGAGUAGCUGUGCCAAUGGCUAGGAUGGUGGACGGACCCUUGGCACAUUGAGCGUUUCUGAUUUUCUCAACUGAAGCCAUUGAUGCAGAUUAAGUUGAGGAAGGAAAGAGAAGAGUGCUUGGAGCUGGGUUGAGAAAGUUGGGUGUGAGUGUUAGGUAUUUAUAAGCUGUGUCACACCAAACCUAAUCCAUUGGCAGUCAAUGAUCAAUUGGCUUCAAAGCUUGCGUGCGUGAGUUUAUUUUUGGAUUUUCAGACAUGUAUGCAUGUGUUAAUGUAUUUGUGUUGUUUUCUGUUCUUCAGCUACCCAUAUAUAAUGAAUGCAUCCAUAGGAAUUGAGAGAGGAUUCAAUCAGGGUUCCGGCUUCUCAUUGUAACAUUUUUUAUAUAUAGAGAUAAAGAGUUUUCCAGCCUCUCAAAUGGAAAUUAAUACAUUGUUCAUUUGACUUUUCCACGUGUGGGUAGCUGCUACCAGCUUUCUUAUGGUUGAUGAUAUCAAACUCAUUCAAAGUUGGAUUUCAAAAUUUGAAGUAAUAAUCUCCACAACCCAAUACCUAAUACACUAUCUUUCUUCUCCAGGAUAACAUCACAUGUCAUUUAACCUACUCACGAGUGUGUUUCUGCUGUACAAUUAAGAGAGUAAAAUGAGGUUAAAUCCAUUCUAUGUAAACUCAAAUUGGAUUGAGCUUUAGCAGAAGUUUUAGUGUAAAUAUAUUAAUAGAAGAAAAUAAAAUGAAGUGAUCCACAUACAAAGUUAUAUAAUGUUUUAUAAUGGUGGUUGGAUUAACAUGCACCAUGGAUGAGAAAUAAUAUUUCAUUAUAUGAUAUAAAAUAUUAUAAAGGAUAAAAAUAUAUACAAUUAUUGAAUAAUAAAAUAUUUUAUGUUUUUUUUCCUUGUAUCUUCACCUUGAACCAUGAACCGUUUUGUUCCACCGAGUGUCUUCCAGUCUUCCUUGCAUUUAUACCUUGAACUACAAGAAGUUUUGCUCUACUAGGUAUCUUUUACUCUUUCUCAUAUUUUUAUCCAUCACACAGUCUUCAUAAGCUCAUUUUUUAUUUUUAUUUUUGUAACAUUUCCCCCUCAUAAUCUAGAAUAUUUAUUAAGAUAUAGGAACUAGCAUUCUUUAUUCUAUGAAGCAUUUAAAUGCCAUCAUGCAUGAAUUUAGAAAAUAUUUUUUAUAAAAAGAAAUAUAUUCCAAUUAGGAAUUUGAGAUACUUCCCAACCUUAACAAGCUUUCAAAUACCAACAAAUGAGAAACCAACUCAAUACCCGCUAAAGCUAUCAAAUAAUCCAUUCUUUCUUUUAUUUACUUUUAAAUAAGAUUCAUAUGAACACAACAUUAAUAUAAUGUUUGAGGAAUCCUUAAGAUAAUGAAACAUUGAGAACUUCAAACUCAUCCUUUUAGUUUGAGCUCAUCACAAAGAAAGUUUAACAAUGACUUGAGGUAAUAAAAUACUAUAAGAGUAUUAUCAAUUUUGGAGAUAAAUACCAUUAUUAACUCCUAUUUGAUACAAUACAACAUUAAAGGGAGGAUGACCAUUCUCCUUUACUUCACUUAAUUUGUUACCAUUGGAAUGCUAUGUAGUACAACAGUUUCGAUGGUCAAGCCUGGCCCAAAACCGAAUAGUACCUCCCAAUCCAAUCCUUCACUUGUGGUGUCUUUUUCCCCUUUUAGGGAUUUCUUUCUCAUCUCAUCCAAAAUAAACAACACACUUGCACUAGACAUGUUACCAUACUCACUUAACACGUGCCUUGUUGCUUCAAGUUUCUUUUUCUCUAAAUUAAGUUUUGCUUCAACUGCAUCAAGAAUUGUAGGGCCACCAGGGUGAGUAAUCCAAAAUAACAAGUUCCAAUCGCUAAUACCAAGUGGGUCAAAAGCCUGACUCAAACAUUUCUCUAUGUUCUCGGAAAUCAAAAUAGGCACAUUAGGCCACAAGUGAAAGGUGAGUCCCACCUCACGUAAGUUACCUGCAAUAGCACCUGCUGAAUUAGGAAUAAACGCUUGGGCUUAUACUUGUUAAUCGCUUAUUGGGAUUUCUUUUUAUAGUUAGUAGGUCUUGUUGUUUACACUACCUCCAUGGCACGUUUCCAAUUGGGAUCUAAAAGAGCCUUUUUUAUAGUCAGUACGUUCCAAGACACCUUAUAGUGCUGGAUGCUUUUUCCCUAUUCGGUUUACCCUUUAGAAGAAGGUAGUGAGGUUUGGGUGAGUGAGGGUAGCAAGAACUGAUUGAAAAAUAUAUAUAUAUAUAUAUAUAUAUAUAUAUAUAUAAAAUUAAGGGAAGGGGAGGAUAAUAAUUAGUCUCAUUUAGCCAGCAAAAACUGAAUGAAGAAAAAUAAAAAUAUAAUAAUUUGUUUCAUUUAUGCUAGAAAGAUGAGGGAGAGAUAAUGCUAUGAAAAAAGAAAAGAUCAUAUCAGGGGGUUGGAGGGUUCAAAUCCAUACAACUCACUCUUGUGUGAUGAACAACAAAAUUUUGGAGAAAUUUUUACUAAUUGUGUGAUGAACAACAUGAUAAUUGUCUUGUCAUGCAUCUCAUCUUGCAAAUAAUUCCAAUAGGAAACUACCAUCCGUCGUCGGUAGCAUUGACAUUUGGUUGGUUGGGGCAGCAUUGGUUGGUGAGUUUUAAUUUCUUAAAACUGUUUCUAUAAUCCAUGUAAACGUAUUUUAUUUAGGUUAUGUGUAGUUUGUCAAAAGUUUGAGGUAGAACGUUAAGGAAAUAAAAUAAAGAGAAACGGUAUGAAGAAAAAAAUAAAAAUAAAUAAAUAAAUAAGUUUAAAAUUAAUAAAUAUUUUUAUCUAUUACUUUAAAUUUAUUUUUCUUAUUUUAACUCAAUAAAAAAUAUUAAAAUAUAUAAGUUUUUAAUUAAUUUAAUUAUAUUUUAUAUGGUAAAAUCAAAUUUGAGAAAAUUAUUUUUCUUAAUAGCUUUUUCUUUCCUUAAUACUUUCUCAAAUCCAAAUACAACUUUCAUUUUUUAAAAAAAAAACUCUAUAUUUUAAAUCAUUUCUAAUAAACAACAUAGAAAUUAAUGUAUUAGAAAUAUGUAUAUCCCUUUCCUAUUGCAUCUUGGUAAAAAUAUUCCAAUUUUGCUAUUUUAGCAUGCAUAUUUUGCUUCACUUCCUAUGGACAAAGUAUGAACAAUUUAUUGUAACUUCUCCAAAAAAAAUUUAUUAGGUAAAUGGACUUUGAAUAAAGUAAGAUUUAAUAUAUUAAUUAGAUUCAAUAUUGAGUCAAUUAAUAUCAUAUUUUCCUCUUUUUAACUUCAAAAACAUAAAAAAAUAAAAAUAAAAAUGGAAUAUAAAACAUACAUUGUAGCUGAUCUUUUCAAAACUGUUUCCAAAGAUAUAUUAUGAUAAUAUAUUUUGGGGUUUUAGAAAAAUGUUUUGGUGAUAUAUUUUGCUAUUCUAGAAAAAUGUGGAGUGAAAUCAUCCAUGCAAAGAGAAUGAACUUUGUAACUGAGCCACUGCUCUUCAGCAGGAGUGUGUUUCUGUUAUACAAUUAAUAGAGUAAAAUGAGGUUAAUUCCAUUCUCUGUGUACUCAAAUUGAAUUGAGCUUUAUAUGAUUUUACUGUGGGGCAAGCCAAAGUUUUAAUUUAAUGUAAACAUAUUACUAGAAGAAAAUAAAAUGAAGUCAUCCACAUAUUAAAUUAUAUGAUGUUUUAACGUGGUGGUUCAAUUAACCAUGCACACCUUCAUGGUUGAGAAAUAAUUUUUCAUUAUACAAUAUAAAUUAUUAUAGAGGAUAAAAACAUAAACAAUUCUUGGGUUAUGAAAUGUUCUAUGUUUUCUCAUUCCUUAUAUUCUCACCUUGAACCACAAAUCAUUUUAUUCCAUCAAGUGUCUUCCACUCUUCCUCACAUCCCUAAAUUGCGAGAAGUAUUACUCUACUGGGUAUCUCUCACUCUUUCUCACAUUUUUAUCUAUCACAUUUAAUCUUCACAAACUCAUCUUUUUUAUAACAUUUUCCCCUCAUGAUUUAGAAUAUUUAUUAAGAUAUUCCUACUAACAUUCCUUAUUCUACAAGGCAUCUAAAUAUAUCACAUAUGAAUUUAGAAAAUAUUUUAUAUAAUAUUUUUUAUAAAAAGAAAUAUUUUUCAAUUAAGAUCAAAUUUGAGACACUUCCCAACAUUUACAAGCUUUCAAAUACCAACAAAUGAGAAAUCAACUCAAUGCCAACUAAAGCUAUCAAAUAAACCAUUAUUUCUUUUAUUUGCUUUUAAAUAAGAUUCACAUGAACACAACAUCAAUACAAUGUUUGAGGAAUAUUUAAGAUAAUGAAACACUGAGAACUUCAAACUCAUCCUUUUAGUUUGAGCUCAUCACAAAGAAAGUCUAACAAUGACUCAAGUACAAAUCCAAAUUUAGCAAAGUAAUAAAAUACUAUAAGAGUAUUAUCAAUUUCGGAGAUAAAUACCUUUGCUAACUCCUAUUUGAUACAUUACGCCAUUGAAGGGUCAACCAUUCUCUUUUAUUUCUCUUAAUUUGUAACUGGAGGAACGCUAUGCAGCACAACAGUUUCGAUGGUCAAGCCCGGCCCAAAACCAAAUAAUACUCCCCAAUCCAAUCCUUCACCUGUGGUAGCCUUUUCCCCCUUCAAGGAUUUCUUUCUCAUCUCAUCCAGAAUAAACAACACACAUGCACUUGACAUGUUACCGUACUCACUUAACACAUGCCUAGUUGCUUCGAGUUUCUUUUUCUCUAAAUUGAGUUUUGCUUCAACUGCAUCGAGAAUUGCAGGGCCACCUGGGUGAGCAAUCCAAAAUAACGAGUUCCAAUCACUAAUACCAAGUGGGUCAAAAGCCUGGGUCAAGCAUUUCUCUAUGUUCUCAGAAAUCAAAGUAGGCACAUUGGGCCACAAAUGAAAGGUGAGCCCCACCUCACGUAAGUUUCCGGCAAUGGCUCCUGCUGAAUUAGGAAUAAAUGUUUGGGCUGCUGAAACAAGUUGGAAGAGUGGUCGUUCAAUCGAGACAUCUGGAUCUGAUCCAACAAUCACAGCAGAAGACCCAUCACCAAAAAGGGCUUGGCCAACUAAAGAGUCCAAAGCAUCUUCGGAAGGGCCACGGAAUGUAACAACAGUGAUCUCAGAGCACACCACAAGAACUCGUGCUCCUGCAUUAUUUUCUGCAAGAUCCUUAGCAGUUCGAAGGACAGUUCCACCUGCAUAGCACCCUUGAUGGUACAACAUCACCCUUCUAACGGAUGUUUCAAGACCUAAGAGAUUAGCGAGUUUGUAAUCUGCACCGGGCAUUUCUACACCGGAGGUUGUACAAAAUACAAGAUGGGUGAUCUUGGACUUUGGUUGGCCCCACUCUUUAAGAGCCUUCAAUGCUGCAUCCCUACCAAGUCUAGGUACCUCAGCAGUGAUAAUCUCUUGGCGUAUGUUAAGAGAUGGAGCCAUAUAAGCACCAAUGUUUGGGUGCUCCUCAAGCAUUUCUUCGGUCAAGUGAAUGUAACGCUUCUUGAUCAUUGAUUUGUCACCUGUAAAUGAAGUAACAUGAACACAUUAGUUUUACCAAUCGAGAAGUCAUAUAGUA
rnacentral:lncRNA from 1 species